AAAUAUAACAAAGCAUGAAAAAUAAAACAACCCCAGAAGGAUAAAAAGAUGCGAAAUUAAGACUUGUUCUUCAUGAUUUACAUAUAAUUUGCAGAUCUGUUGGUAGGAAAGUUGCAGAAAACCCAGGAAUAAAAAAACAGGGAGGAACUAAGAACCUUGAGCUGCAGCCACAGGAGGCCCCUCAGGGAGGAGGAGAUUUGAGGGGAAGAAGAGAAAGGAUCUGCAAAACAGAGAUUUUCCGGGGCGUCUGAGAGGGAGAGGAGAGAGAGGGAGAGGAGGGGUGGGGGCUGAGUAUUUAUGAUUCAAAGAAGCAGGGGACAGAGAGAGAGGAAACAGAGGAUGAUCUAGAUUGUGGACCGUUGGAUGAGGUUUGAGAUUGGUGUUGGAGGAGCCCGAUUUGGUCCACGUGGUCGGGAUCUCCAGCCAAUAAUACUAGAAAAUAAAUAAAUAACAAUACUCCCGUUUUAGCACGAGCCUACAAAGGAAAAUAUCUAAAUUUAUUUAUUUAUUUAUGGUACGGUUGAUUGAUUCCAAUUUCCAAUUGACCAAUGACCCUUGAGCCUUUGCAAGUGCAAUGCACGGAAAGACAUUCUCUCCGGAUUUUUACCAUUAAAGUCAUCGAAUCAAGUGAUCCGAAUAUUUGAAAUUUCAUUUAACAUGACAAAAAUUAUUAUAGUUUUUAAUAGAUCAAAAUAAGUGAACCGUUGGAUGAAAUUUUAAAGACUCGAAUCAUUUGAUCUAGUGGUCUUAGUGGAAAAAAUCCGAAGAGGAUCUCUUUCCGCAAUGACAAUCCAACUAUUUUAAUUUUUAAUUUUCUGGUAAACGAAGAGAAGGAUUAGGAUUAAGGACAAUCAAAUCUUUAUCUAAUUCUUAAAUUUGAAGUCAUGCAGAUUUUUUUCUUACUUGAUAAGAACACGUUGACAUGGACAAUCAACCAAAAUAAGAAGAUAAACGUCUCCGUAGGAUUUGAGCUUCCGUUUUUAUUUUGAAGAUCUGUGAAGAUUAAAAUGCAUAUUAGUCAUAAAAUUAAUGUGUCUAAUAUUAAUUUAGAUUUAAAGAUUUAAAUAUUAGAAAAACCAAUGAAAAUGACUUGAAAUUUUUGAGUUUUAACGAAAAUGACAAAAUAAAAUGUAAAGUGAAUAGUACCAUAAUUGAUUUUUUAGUGUAAAAAUGUGGUUUUUCGUUAAAAUGAAUAAUACCGAGUGAUUUUUGUAAAAAUUUCCUUAAAUAUUUGACAACUUAAUAAAUUAAUAUAAGAAAAUGAGUUUUUUAAUAGUACAAAGGCACAGAGUAUGAACAACUAAUUAGAUGAUGCAGUGAAUCUUUAAAAAAGGCAAGAAAUUCCAAUAAAGUUGUCUUAUUAGAUCAUCUUUUACAUAUGAUCAACUUAGAAUCAUGUGAUAUCAAAAUACAUAGAAGUUUCAAAUUUUAUAAAACAUGUUAUAACAAUGACAUGUCGUAAUCACUUUUUUUUUCUUAAAGUGUUGCUACGCCCAAUAGGCCGAAUGCAAUUCGAUGAGUCAUGAACGUGCCACAAAUUAAACGAACGUGGUAUGAGUAUGUUCGUACUUUUGCCAAACCCGAAUUUAAAAUAAGAAAACUAAUGAAAAGGGUUUGAAAAUUUUGAGUUUUAACGAUAAUAAAAAAAUAAAUGGUAGAGUGAAUAGUAUUGUUGAUGCACAAAACCAGAGGUCUUGGAACAACGUAAAUCCGACCGUGAAUUUGCAAAAAAUGUAAAUAACACAAGAUGUAUCGUGGUUCACCUUAAGGUUUGGACUACGUCCACACUAAUUGUAUUUCUCUGAGAGUAUUUGUGAGGGAGAGAGUGUGAGAGCUUUUCUCUAGAUAGGAGAGACUUAAGGUUUGUGAGGGUGAAGAUGCCCUUUUAUAGAAUAAGGAUUCCUCCACUAAUUACAUAUUUGCCCAUUCUUUUAUUACGUAAUUACAUUUGAGUUAUCCGAGUAUUUAUACGAGGUCUAAAUACAAAUGCCCUAGGUAUGGUAUAAACACGUAUCAAGAUUGACUUUUUAGUAUAAAAAUAUGAUUUUUCGUUAAAGUAAACAGUAUCAUGAGCUUUUCGUUAAAGUUUAUAUUUAAAAACUAUAGCCAAAGAUUAAAGAAGCAUGUCAAAUUUUGAAGAUAAAAAGAGGGGAUGAAAAAAACAUGGCAGAUGAACGUUAAUUAAAUUCCAGUGGAGCAAGGGUUGCAGAAAGGCUAAUUGCAGGGAGGCUUCAAUAAUUCGAAUCCAAGGUGGAAAGGACAGACAUGUUUGUAAACACAGAAUGGAAGUGGGAACCACAACUCCAUUCCCUUUCCUUUUCUGUUCGAUUCCUCCACAUGCCACUGCCUUGGGAUGCUCACAUUGGUAAACAAUGUUGGGAGAAAGAUUUACAUUUACUUGGCACAGAUAUAUUGUUAUCGGUGGCGUGCUGUGUUAAUAACAUAAAAUAUAUGUAACUUUUGUUUAUAUGGUAUUGUUUUAUUUUUACGGAAUGUUAUGUAAUUGUGUACUCGUGCUAUAUAUGUUGUUUUUUUUAAAGAAAGGUUUAGUUGUAGAAUCAACUCUCAUGAAUGACCUAUGUAUGUUGUUCUAUUUGAGGGAAAAGUUUAGUCGUACAAUCAACUUUGAUGAAUGACGAACUUAUUAAUAUCAUGAUAUUUUUUUAUAAGUGAGAAAUUUUAAAGCCAACUCUUGGUGAAUAUCAAAUUUAAAAUAAUAUUUUAAUUAUCAGUAUAAAAUGUCGUUGUAUAUCAUAUACUUGUAUUAAAUUUUGGUGGCCAUAGUCCAAAUUUGCAAUCCAAUGGAAUUCAUGGAGAUUAAUACACACAUAUAUAUAUGGCCCCUACCAUUAGGUCCAUUACCAACCAAUUGUAAUUGGGGCGAUCAUAUGUGUAUACGGUUCAUUCACCACUCAUAUAGUGUAUAUCCGAUUAUACCGUAUUUUAAAACGAUUUUGUUUCCUUUUGUGCACUAUUAGAUAAUAGAUAGUGUAAAAGUAACCCUUUACCACAGUAGUGAAAAUGUGUUGUGCCCUUACAUGACGAUAUGAAUUUGAACUUUAUCGGUAGCUAAUUUAACAUCUAACUUAUUAACGCUAUCACCCGACUCAAAAGAUAAUAGAUAGUGAAGUGCUCACUAACUUGCUAUUUAUAUUGAGAAGUAAUUUCAAUAUAUAUUUUUCUUCUUCUGCACGUUGAUGUUUAUUCUGAUCAUCAAUGCUUCAUAUAUUUCAAUUGAAUGACCAGGAUAAUACAACAGUGUACAACUACGUGUGAUAAAAGGAUUGUGCGGGAUUCACUUCCCCUAUUCCUUAGAGCAACUAACUAUUAGUCUAGUAAUAUACAAAUCUCUGAGCUCUCCUUAAUGUAUAUCUACAUAUAUAAAGUGAAAUGGCAAAAAGGGUAAAGUUUUCAAUAUCCUUUCAAUGGCCUCACUUUAAUUGGUGGGUGGUUAAUAAUUCUUUCUUUGUUUCUGAAUUUUUAAUUAAAAUAUAUAAUUAGAUCUAAAGCAGAAAUAAAACUUAAUUUUUAAUCUAGGCGUGGAAGGAGGCUAGUUAGUGAAAUGAAUAGCUUGUAUUAAAAAAAUAAUAACUUUCUGAUAAAAAAAAUAAUAAUUUGGUCAUUAUUUUCAUAAUUAUUUAAGGGCCUGAUAGGCCCGUACAAUGUCUUGGGUAGGCUUAAGACCGGCCCACUAAACUAGGUUAAGGGCCUGAUAGGCCACGGGUAAUAGGUCUUGCGUUUGAACUUUGAUCUUCUGCGCAAGUUUUACUUCUGUGUUUCAGAAGACUGAGAGGAAGAUGGUGUGGCCAGGGACAACAAUGGCAACCAAUUGUCUAGUAAGUCGUUUCUCAACCUUUUGUUGUUAUUUUUAUUAUUUCAAUCUUCUGAAAUAUAUUCGUAAAUGAUACGAGCCAUAUAGAGGGAUUGGAAUUCCCAAACCCUAGUAUAUAUUAGACUGUUAGUUAGCAAACAAAAGAAUUAUUGAUUAUAUUUAUAUGAUGAGAAACGUUAAGAUGACUCUCUUAAAGUGGAACUCUGUCACUUCAUAGUUUAACGUCAAUUUUCUUGCCAACAUUAUAACAAAAAAUAUGGGCUGGCAGCCCAUGGAGAGUCCCACUUUUAAAAGAGUCUCCUUAGUAUUUCUCUUUAUAUGAUAUAUUAAGGAGAGUGAUAGGAUUGUUGGCACAAAUUUGCAAUUAUAUUAUUGUUGCGUAUGAAUUACAAUUAAGUAUCAGUUACAAUUGACGACAAGUGCACAAGACUAACCAAUAACCCCAAUAGUUCGGAUUGUAAAUUGAUUAAGGAAUACAUUAAUGUUUUGAUGGUUCAAUGACAAAAUUUUCUUAUACACUCUGAAAUACUAUAGAAUUUUGAAUAGUUAAUUAUCGGUCAAGUAUACAAUAAUUAAAAUCUACAAAGCGCUAUACAAUUUUCAGCAAAUGAUAUGUGACAUUUGACAUUUGAAAUUAUGUGACAGUUUCAAAUUCCCAUGCAAUAACUGAGUACAAAAUUAAUAUAUUUCCUUUCCAAUGACCAUGAUUUCCCAACUACAAUAGUCAAUAGGUCAUCACCUUUAAAAAAGUCAUGAAAUCCAGAUGCAGAAAUCUUUAAAGAUGGUGAUAUAUCAGACUUUAUUUCAUUUUUCAUUCCCCACCUAAGUGGGUCCUAAACCCUAAAUUAACCACAUAUAAAUGAUAUAACCCUAAUCCCUUGAGUGUACCAUGUGAUACCUUUUUAUUCCACUGCAUCUGCAUCAUGUGUUUGAAGCAGCCUUGUUAUUCUUCCUCUUUAGUUUUCUCCUCUUUUGAUUCAGCUCAUAAGCCUCAUAUCCCAGCUUGUAGAUAAACCCUAAUUUUUUUUUAAAAAAAGCUAAAGCUAAAGUAACCCUUGUCUCUCUCUCUCUUGAUGUUCCUUGCUUUGUUCUCUCUCUCUCUCUCUCUCUGUCUCUAAACAUUAUUUCAUGGAUUCGAAAUCUCCAAAAUCCAUGUCACCUUCUUGUCCUACCUCAGUAAUAUAAUAUUAUAUAUUAUAGUAGUUUUUACAAAAGGGUACCUGGGUAGGAUAUUCACUCAUUCUCUGUGCAGUCAUGCAUGCACAUUCAUGUCACAAUGUCUAGUCAUCAAAGCAACACAAUAGUGGUACGUGGGUCAUUGUGCUGGGAAGAAAAGUGGGGAGGAAUCUCUUUGGUAUUUUCUCCCAUCCAGAAUUCGCACUUUGCUCAUCUUUGCUUCGCACCAAUGCAAUUGUUCUGCAUUUAGGUCGGUCAUUCUCAAAACCCUAGAUACCAGUUUUAGGUCAAUCAGACCCAUCAGUAUCUCCAUCUCUUCCUCCACCUUCAACCUUCGCUUUCUCAGGCAUUUGUGGGAACGUCGAAGAUCUUUGAUUUUCAUCUUCUUCUGCUCAUGAAAUUGGGAGAGGUAAGAAUAUAUCCGGAAAAUGUUUAUACAUGACGUAUGUUUUUUAACUUAAAGAACGGACGCGCAUUGAUAUUGCUAAGAAUGUAUCAACCACAUGUUUGUACGCUUUGUUACAACAGUGACAUUAGUGACUUGACAUUACUAAUAACAUAUCGACAAUCAAUUCUUUAAUAAAGGAUGGACUUCCGUUAUGGACUAUAAUUUGGUAUAGUAAAAAUAAAUGAUAACAUAACAUAAUUAAGCAAUUGAAACACAAACACACACACAUAUAUAUAUGAACUUACUUUUUGAUUAACUUUCUUCAUCAGAUGGAGAAGAGUGGGAUCAACUGAACCUUUUCGUUUUCGUUUGAACAUGGAUGCUAAUUUCUGGCAGGGUUUUUCCUUAUCAGUCUUGAGAAAAUCCAUGAACGUUCGGAUUCCGUCUUCCAUUAUCAUUAAAAAUGCAGCUGACGAAAUUUUUGAGCCAAAACCUUCAUCCUUUUGAUGGUCAUCAUCUUCUGAAACUUAUGACAUAAAAUUCAUGCAUUAGUUAAUUAACUUUGUUUGAUCCCUAGACCUUUUGCAUUCUUUGAUACAAUUUAAAAAAUCAUAUCACGUAACAUUCAAAUUGUUAAAGAAAAAGGGUAUGAAUUAAAAGAAGUUAAAGUACAAUUCUUCUGCAGAUGUACCUCGAUAUUCUGGCACUUGAAGUAACUUUGGUGCCAAAAGCCUCAUCCUAGCAUAAAUCUCUGGCCUCCUGCCUUGCUCAUAAGGCUCAUUCUCUACAUAUCUUUGUAGAAGCACUUGAAAUUGCUGAAAUUUCUGUGCUAAUUCGCCAGGAACGCCGGGAUCAAACUCAUGGCGUGAUGCCCUUUUUUGCUCAAAAUUCUUGUAGUUCCAAUUAAGUGCUUCCCAUGUUAAGCAAAUUUGUGCAACAUAAGCAGCCUCCAGCUCAUGAUAAGGGUUGUGACGUACAUCAGGCAGCCUUUUUGUUGCCGUAGAGAUUCUAUGAACAAUCCUUUCCGAAAUUGAUCUUGGACAGACUUGAAUAGACUUAAGUGAUUCUGAAAACAAAAAUAUAGCAUAUAUAAUGUCAGCUUAAGAUAUUAAUAAAAGAAAUCAUUACAAAAAGGGAGAAAAUAUAGCUAGAUAAUAAAAAAAUUAAAUUAAAUUACCUGUUUCAUGGAGCUUUUGGGCACUAAUUCUGUCUAGGAACAUCAUUUCUUCAUCAUACUUUUGGAAGACUGUGUAAGACUCCCAUUUGGGGCAGCUUCGCCGGGACGAGGAAGAAAAAGGAUCUUCAGUGGCAGAAUCCCUGCAAUUAAUUGAGCUUCUCCAAUCAGAAGAGCUCUUAGAAGUUGAUCCAACAGUUGAGUCCUCAAAAAUUUCAUCCUCUUUAUUGUCUUGAACUUGGAACUUCUUGUUCUUCAAUUGUGAUGGCCCGAAAACCACAAAAUUUUCGUCACUGGAUAAAUGCGUCUGAUCUGCCCUAUUGAUUUCAGUAUUAUGUUCAUCACAAUUACCUGUAUGAUCAAAUAACAUAAGCAAAUGUCAGGCUGCAAAUAGUACAAGUAUUAGAAGUAAAUCAUGUGACUAGCUAGCUAAGUGUAACAAACUUUAGUGCUUGAAAUAAUGGGACAUACCGUCACCAUUUUUGUCACUUUUAUGUAGCUCUAUAGUUAUCGGAGAUGUGGGCCACACUCGAUCCUUCGCAACAGAAUUGAGAACUGAAACUGUAUCUUUCACGGGGAUUUCCUCCGCACCUUGAUCGUCAUGUUCAGAUUCUGAACCUUGUGAUGACUCAUGCAAAGAUUCAUCGGGGCGGUCUUCAAUUAUUAAGCUCUCCCGUGCGCUAAUGAAUUGGUCUUCGGAAAAACUUUUUUGAUGAUGAUGCUGAAGGUUAUUGUUAGGCAAAAACAUCAGUGAUUCGCCGCCGUGAAUGAUGUCAGCCACCAGAUCAUGAUCAUUUAUGGUACUGCAGUAUUGGUGACCAGGAACAUGAAACUGCCUUUGUUCGUUGUCUUCUUCUUCCUCCUGCUCCUCCUCUUCUUCUUCGUCCGAAAACACAUAGUCUUCGUAUCCAUUCUGGUUUCUGCAAUCCAACAAAUAAAUGCAUACAAAAGGGUGAAGAUUAAGUAAAUUAAAGAAGUAAAACACAAAAGUGAGCAUGCAGUUAAGAACUUAAAACAUAAGGAUAUAUAAUUAAGACCUUGGGAAAAUAGGGUUGCUGCCGACAAAGUAGAAGAGUUUGAAAAGAAAAGUGGAGGAGAGGUAGAGGAAGAGGAGGAGGAGGUGGAAGGAGGAGGAGGUGUUGUAGAAGAGCCUAACUAGUGCUUCCUCAGCUGAACAUGGCAUUUUCUCCUCCGAAAAAUGAGUUUGUAUGGAGCCUCUAGUGUCUCUCCUUCACAAAGCACAAUGGCAAAGUGGGAGUAUUACUCCUUGAAAAAAGUUAAAGCGUGUGCUUUGGUUUGCUUUCAUAAAUACUCUCUUUCUUGUUGGUCGAAAUAGUUUUUUUUCACCAAGAAAUGUUUCGUGUCCUCCAAUAUUGCAAGUGCCAAUUUACCUUAUAUAUGUUUCCUAUUAUUAAUUGGAUAUUUAUAAAUAAGCCACUUAAAUCGUCUAUUUUGUAGUGAAAGAACACGUAUAACACUAUUUUGAAGAAAAAAAACUUUUAAACUUAACUGUUGCAACUGACAUUAAUAUAGGUAAGAGAUAAUUUUCUAUAAUUUGAUUCUUUAAAGGUUUCUACCACCAACAGUUAUUUUAAAUAUUUCACUACCUUCUUCUUCUUCUUCUUUUUUUGUUUUUUUAGGUAAAAGAUAUUGCACAGUCUUGAUUAAAUUGCUUAUGAAAAUAGUUCUUUUGCAUGUGCUCACAUUGUGUGAAACAAAUCGUGAGAAUCAUUUCUAAUGCAGUAUCUUUGUAUUAAAAGAACAUAAACCUUGUAUUUUAGUUUGUAUUUGAAGUAAAAGAACUCCUUUUCCUUUUCUUUUUAUUGCUAGAAUUAAAGUAGAAAAUCCUAUUCUACAAGAAAGGGGCCUAUGCUAUAUCCAAAUAAAUAAAUAUAAGUAUAUAACUAGAAAUAAAAAUAAAAAGAAGAGACCAAAACCAAGCCGCACGCAUUGGUAGACAUGUAUGCAUGCCACUUUUUAAAAGAAGUAUUAAGAUAAUAUUAUUUUCAAAUAAAAAGAAGCUGAAAUAAAAAUAAACAACUUAAAGUAGAUAAUUAGAGGAAAAAAAUGACACGACAUAAGUUUCUGUACAAGGUUUUGGUCAGAUAAUUAGUGGAGGCUUGAAGGUAUUAGUAUUCUUUGCCUCCUAUAAUAUAUAAAGAACCUUUUUAUAAAGCUAUGAAUUAUGGGAGGUAUUGUCAAUUGAAUUUGGAGCUUCUCUUUUGGAAAUCUUCUUGGUUGUUUCUUCUUGUCUUUAACUUUGCCACUAAGAUUUCUGCAGACAUGUUUGUCGAUCCAAUCAGCGGUUGAUUACUUGAUCAGGCACGAAUCAAAUCACCAAAUUAUGAAGCACUAAACUAUGAUUUGUAUUAAUUAAUUAGUUUACAAUGGAUUGAGCUUUUGAAUACAACUUUGUAUCUUUGCUUGAUAAGCUUGAAAAAAAAAAACCCCCCAAUUCUUGGUAGCCCAAUAGUAAAUACAUUCCUGAAUAUAACCCACAAAAAGUCCAAUAUUUGCAUAAUUCUUUGAAGGGAAAAAAAAAAAAAAUCUUUUGGUGCCACAAAUUGGAUUGAAUAACCCACAUACCCAAAGAAAUUAGAGUAAAUUACUUUUUAACUCUUUCUGUAUGGGUGCAAUUGUAACUCAUUCAUCAUCUUUAAAAUAUUUCAAUCUCAUAUACUUACAUAUUAUUUAUUUUCAUACAUAUGUUAGUCAAAGGCUAAAUAGCCAAAAUGGUCACUGAGAUUUGCAUCACUCAUCACUUUGGUCCUUAACAUUUCAAAUCAAUAAAAGUGGUCCCUGAGAUUGUCCACCAUCCAUCAUUUUAGUCAUUCUGUUAAAAACUCCGUUAAGUGUCCCGGAGCUUUUGGCUGGAAGUUAGGGCAAUUUUCAAAGCUUCGUAACUCAAUCGUUUCUUAACCAAAUUCGACCCAUAAUAUAUCAAAAUGAAGAUAGGAAAGUGUAGAAUAAGAUUAUACCUAUUUGGAGCCCAAUGGUUGCCAGAGAUGGCAGGAAAAUAGCCUCAAAGUUGACUGGUCCGAGGAAAAACUGGAAAACUCGUCGGAAACUGGGUAAACUUUAAAUGUUCAUAACUUCUUCAAUACUUAACGAAAUCAAGUGAUUCAAAAACAAAAAUCAUACUUCUCGACGAGAUGAAGAUAAUGGUUCAUUUUUAGAUAGCUAACUCUCCGUGGUUUGGCUGGAAAACAGCUUCCGGCCAUCUCCAGCAACUAUUGGGCUUCCAAAUAUGUAUAAUCGUAGUCUACACUUUCCUAUCUUCAUUUUGAUAUAUUAUGGGUCAAAUUUGGUUAAGAAAUGAUUGAGUUACGAAAUUUUGAAAAUUGCCCAAACUUUCGGCCAAGAGUUCCAGGAUGCUUAACAGAGUUUUUAACGGAGUGACCAAAAUGAUAGAUGGUGGACAAUCUCAGGGACCACUUUGAUUGAUUUGAAAUAUUAGGGACCAAAGUGAUGAGUUAUGCAAAUCUCAUGGACCAUUUUGGCUAUUUAGCCGUUAGUCAAAUUAUCGAUUUGACCUUUAAAUGAUGACAUGACAAAUGUGGGGCCUAUAUUUUUACUCAUGUGAAAGUCAAAUUUGUCCACAUAGAUUAAAAAAAAAUGGUAAAUUACAUCUUACCACCUCAACUUUAAGUCAUAUAACAAACUCAUAUUUCAUUUUAUAAAUAUUACAAUGUCAUACAUCAACUUACGAAUCUGUUGCAAUGUUAGACCUCCAAUAGUCAAUUCGUCAAAUUGGCCAUUAAACGAUGAUGCGGCAAAUGCAAAAUCCAUAUUUUUGAUGAUAUGGUAGCUAAUUUUUCCAUGUAGAUAAAAAAUAAAAUUAUAAAAUAAAUAACUUAAAAAGAAAAUAAUUUUCUGCACGGUUGACCUCUCUUCUCACCUGAACCAACACGCUAGCGUUGUGCUUCCCCCCCAUAAUCCUACACCUCGAGAUCAAGAUAAAUUCACAUCCACAUUCACCGAAAAUAGAGAGCCGCCAAAAACCUACUCCAAAUAGUUGAACUUGAACAAAAUUAUAUCUUGUUCAUCAAAUUAGAUGAGUAAAUGUCUAGAUGAUGGUGGUGGUAGUAGGAAGCCAGAUCGAAUUGACAUUCAAAUGUUAAAACUAAAAAUAAAAAUUAAAUUAGAAGUAGGAAUUUUCUACAAAUUGGGGAUUAGGGUUGUUUGAGAGUGUGAAAACUGGAAGGGAAAUGGAGUUUGCAGAUGAAUAAUUUCUUGCAUAAUUGACUUGAUCUUGAAUCAUACAAUGAUUCAUGGCUUUAUACAGUAAAGGGAAGGCUACUCUAGGUAAAUACAUCUUGAUUGUUUGCCAAUUACAUUACGAUCCUAUAAUUACCCUAAAUGAAUAGUUGACUUAUUUUCUUUCCUUUAACAACCCCCCUCAAGUUGGAGUGUAAAUGUCAAUAACGCCUAACUUGUGAAGAUGCGUUCGAAAGACAGCUUCCCUUGUUGGCUUCGUGAAUAUGUCGGCAAUUUGUUCUCCGGUUUGCACAUAUGCAGUUUUGAUCUCUCCAUUUUGAAUUCUUUCACGUACUGUAUGACAAUCCAACUCAAUGUGUUUGGUUUGUUCAUGAUAUACUGGAUUUGCAGCAAUGUACAAGGCCGCUUGGUUAUCACAGAAUAGGUUUGCAGGUUCAUGAUGAUUAACCCUCGAAUCAUGUAACAAAUACCUUAGCCAAGUGAGUUCACAUGUAGUAGCUGCCAUGGAUCGGUACUCCGCUUCAGCUGAGAACCUAGAAACAAUUGCCUGCUUCUUGCUUUUCCAUGAUACAAGUGCUUGUCCAAGGAAUACACAGUAACCUGUGACAGAUAGUCGUGUAGUUGGACAACGAGCCCAAUCUACAUCACAAUAACCGACCAAAUUUAAUUGGCCAUAUGAUGGAAAGAGAAAUCCUUGACUCGGAGCUGCCUUUAAGUAUUGAAGUAACUUGUGGACAACAUCGAGAUGAGGCUUUCUGGGUUGUUGCAUGAAUUGACUAAGGGUAUUAACCAAAUACGUGAUUUCCGGUCUUGUGAUAGUAAGGUAAAUCAAUUUCCCAACCAACCUGCAAUAACAAGUUAGGUCAUUGAGAAGGUCAUCAUUGUUUCGAUUCAACUUUAGUUCUGGAUCCAUUGGAAAUUUGGCAGGCUUCACACCAAGUAAACCAUUAUCUUCCAAUAUAUCCAAUGUAUAUUUUCGUUAGCCUAUUGAAAUCCAUGCCAUCGAUCGUGCAACUUCAACCCUAAGGAAGUAUUUCAAUGAGCCAAGGUCUUUAAUCCGAAAACAAUUAUUGAGAAAUUUUUUAAGGUCACUGAUUGCCUCUUCAUUGUUCCCUGUGAUGAUCAUAUCAUCAACGUAUAAUAGUAUCACUGUAAAUGAAUUUUCACGGACCUGAGUGAAUAAUGAAUAGUCUGCCCGUGAUUGUUGAAAGCCAAUGUUUUGGAUUGCAGAUGAAAACUUGUGAAACCAACUUCUUGAGGCUUGUUUCAGUCCAUACAAGGACUUGUUGAGUCGACAAAUAACUCACUCCCCCUGUCGACGAUAACCAAGUGGAGGAAGCAUGUAGACCUCCUCAUGGAGAUCCCCAUGAAGAAUGGCGUUCUGGACGUCCAUUUGGUGAAGGCUCCAAUGGCGAACUGUAGCAACCGUCAAGAGACAACGGACGGUGAUGAGUUUGGCUACGGGGGUAAAAAUUUCUUUAUAAUUAAUGCAUUCGCAUUGAGUGAAUCAUUUAGUGACGAGGCGGGCUUUGUACCUUUCAACAGAUCUAUCAGCUUGAUAUUUAAUUUUGAAUAUCCAUUUACAGCCAAUCGGGUGAUAGCCAGGAGGAAGAGAAACCAUGGUCCAAGUGUUGUUGGCUUCAAGAGCAUGAAUUUCAGCAUGUAUAGCUUCAACCCACUGCGGGUCUUGAUUGGCCUGCUCAUAAGACAUUGGUUCCACCAAAUGGGAAAUAUUGUGUACAAAGUGUUGAUGAGCAGAAGACAAAUUAGAGUAAGAGACAUACCGAUGGAAGAAGUACCGCGUACCGAACGUGGCAGCGGAGAUAUUGCCAGAAGCAAGCAUAGAGGCAUGGUAUGCUUGAUAUUGUUUAAAGUGAGUGGGAGGUCAUGUGGUUCGAUUAGAUUGACGAAGUGGGGGUUGGGGAUUAGGGAGGGUGAGCGGUGAUGUUGGUGUUGUAGAGAUGAGGGCGUCAUUAGGUUGUGAGGGUAUGGGUUAGUUGUGUGAUGGGGCGAAUGAAUUAGUAGCGGGGUCGGGAGUCGAUGAAGGUAUGGGAUUAGUGGUUGGAAAAUCUAGGAGUGAAGAGGAAUGAGGCAUGAUUUCAGUGGUAUGGAUGAGAUUAAGUGGGAUUGAGGAAUUGGUGGGAUGGAUUGGGUCAAUGGGUGAUGGGGUAAUGGUUGAUGGGUCGUGGGUAGUUUGGGAUGAGGUGAUAAAUGUGGUGUGAUGUCAUCAUGAGGAAGUGGCAAAGUGGGCUAAUCAGUUUGCAUUUCUGGUGGUGAGGUGGAGAAUGGAAAAACAUGCUCAUGAAAAAUUACAUCCUGAGAUGAGAAAUUUUUCUUGGUAUCGAGGUCUUAAACCUAAUAGCCUUUUUGACCAAGUGGAUAGCCAAUAAAAACACAUCGUUGUGCCAGGGAAUCAAAUUUGUGAAUGGGUAUGAGAUUGGUUGCAUAGCAGAGACACCUAAAAGUUCAAAUAUAAGAGUAAUGAGGUGGUGUGCCAUGUAAUUUUUCAUAGGGUGAGGUGUGCGACAACAAGGGGGUAAGAAGACGAUUUAUAAGGUAACAAGCUGUUUGAAGACUUUCUCCCUAGAAUUUUAAAGGAAAAUUUGCUUGAAAGCGAAUAGCUCACCGCACAUUCUAGAGGUGAUGGUGUUUGCGUUCCACAACUUCAUUUUGUUGGGGUGUGUGAGGGCAAGAGUGUUGAAAAACAGUGCCACAGUCAUUUAAAAAUGAACGCAUGGAGGUGAAUUAUGCCCCAUUAUCAGCACGUAAGGCCUUAAUGGUACAAUUAAAUUGGGUUUUGACCCAAGAGAAGAAUGAUUUCAAUAAAGAUUAUGUCUCAGACUUAAAAGACAUAAGAUGAAUCCAUGUGAAACGAGAAAAAUCGUCCACAAUAGUUAAAAAAUAUCGUGUCCCAAAAUGUGACGUAACUUUGUAAGGCCCCUAAUUAUCACAGUGGAUUAAAUCGAAAUGUGAAAUUGAUUUUAUUGAACUUAGGGAAAAAAAUAAACGAGUUUGUUUCGCUAGUGGACAAAUAUCACAAACAUGCUUGGAAUAAAAAAAUAUUUAUGGGAUGGUUUUGGAUAAGGCUUGGAGAGGUGUAAUGGAUGGAUGUCCUAGGCGGUUGUGCCACAAGCUUGAGGUACGGUUGACGUUAUGCGAUAGGUGUGGGUUAUGGCUUGGCUUGAAGUGAUAUAGCCCAAUAUAUUGCUUGCCCAGGCCAAUUAUCUUCCUCGUAGCCACGUCCUGUAUAACACAAAAAUCAGGAAAAAAUAUUACAAUACAUUCCAAUCUUGAGUGAGUUUGCUAACGGAUAACAAAUUAACUCUAAACUUUGGUACAUGAAGUACUCUAUCAAGAAUCAAAUCAGAGGACAAUUUGACGGAUCCAAUUGAUUUGAUUUCAAUUUGGCUCCCAUCUGGAAAUCCCACAAAAUCUUGUUGUGUGUCUGAUGUAUUAUGUGUUGGCAAUGAUUUUGAUAUAUGAUAUGUAGCUCCACUAUCCACAAUCCAAUAUAAUGUUGAAUGUGAGUCAUGGUGAGUAACAUUACAGGUUGGUGUGAUUAUACCUGUAGCAUUGGUGAACGAUUGGGUAUUACCGUUUCAUUUUUGAAGCAUGGCCAUGAUCUGAUUGUAUUCUUCGGUAGUGAAUGUGGGUCCCUCAGUAGGCAUUGUUUUAACCGGCUGAGGUUGAUUUGUCUGUGCAUUAUGAGCUGAUGGUUUCUUGCCUUUUGGCUUCACAUUCUUGCCAUGAAAUUUGUGGCCUACUGGAAAACCAUUGAGGAAAAAACAAUCAUCUACAAGGUGUCCUCCAUCAUAGUAACUGCACUUUAACUUUGAAGACGUCGUUCUUAAGUGGUGGUGGAACGGCUUGUCUACAUCGCAUGAUGGUUGCUUAAAUUUUCACACCGAGAGGCUACUUUAACUUGUCUUUCUUGCUGAAGGACCAAGGCAUGGACAUUACGUGUGUCAGGAAACGAGUUCAUCAUUAAGAUCGAUCCACUAACGGUAGCGUAAGAGUCGUUUAAUCCUAUAAGGAACUGCAUAACUCUUUCCUUUUCUUCUUGUUCAGUAAGUUGCUUUAGUCCUUCACAGGUGCAAGUGAGAGGAUCGUGGUAGGAGGCUGGUUCAUCCCAAAGUGCCUUUAUCUUGGUGUAAUAGGCAGAAACAGACUGUUGUCCUUGUCGGUGUUUGACGAUUUCUUGUCGAAUCUGGUAAAUCCUAGAGUCAUUACCUUGUGAAAACCUGUCUUUGAGAUCAUUCCCAACGACAGCUGUCGUGUCGGUAUAGAGAAUAUUGCCAGUAAUGUCCGAGUGGACUGAAUUCACGAUCCAAAGCAACACCAUGUCAUUGCAUCGCUUCCAAGUAGCGUAUUUUACCUCUGUGAGUUUUGGGGUUGUGAUGGAUCCAUCGAUCAUCCCAAUCUUAUUCUUUGCGCUAAGACCAAUGCGCAUGGUACGACUCCAUUGUCUAUAAUUAUGUCUGUCAAAAGGUUUUGAGACCAAGAUGAGUCCCAAAUUAUCCAAGUGGUGCAAAGUGAGCGGGUCUGAGAUGUCGAUUGACACCUCUGUGAAUUUCGUCUCACUUUCACCCAUCUGGUUUUGUUUGCAACGGAAGGUGUGGUUGGGUUCCUAGAGGCACCAAGAUCGGUGCUCUGAUACCAUGUGAAAAUUGUAAGGGAAGUGGAGUUUGCAAAUGAAUAAUUUCUUGUGUAAUUGACUUGAUCUUGAAUCAUGCAAUGAUACAUGGCUUUAUACAGUAAAGGGAAUGCUACUCUAGGUAAAUACAUCCUGAUUGUUUGCCAAUUACAUUACGAUCCUAAUUACCCUAAAUGAAUAGUUGACUUAUUUUCUUUCCUUUAACAGAGAGGGUGGUGUGGACAAGCUCUUGAUCAGGUUGGUCGUCAAUGGUUUUAAGGAUGGAACGAAUCUAUGUGAUGUCAGAGACACCGUGUUGCAUGGCAGCGAGGACUUUGGGGUCAGAGAGGUGAGGCAUCUGAGUUAAGGAUGGGGGUCUCACUACUACAAAAGUGGCUUAUUGUGUCGGUGGUUGGUGUCGGUUUUAUAUAAUUGUAGACAUCAAAAUUUUGGUAAAUAAAUGUUGACCGAUAAAUCAAAGUUUCAACGCUCAUGUAUUACAUAAAUUUUACACGUAGCGUGUGUCUAAACAAAAAAUCGAAAUAAGUUAGAAAAGUCAUCAAACAGGACACGUGUCAACACCUGGCAGAAACGACUUAUUUCAUCUGGAAUAUUAUAUUCAAAAUUAGGCCUUGGAAAUUUCUAUAAAUAGAAGGCUAAUUCAUUCAUUUGAGGGAGAACCAAUUCAUAUUACACAUUGAAGCUCUGAAGCUCUGAAACUCCGAAGCUCUUAAGCAUCCAGGUUCCCGAAGAAUCAAGAAAGCCUUCUUCAUUCUUCGUUCAUCGUUCUUCCAAGAUCAAGCCCCAACGGCCCUUUGGAUCAACAAUCAUCCACCAAUUCAAGAUCAAGCCCCGACGGCCCUUGAAGAAAGUGUUCUUCGUUCUUCGUUCAUCGUUCUUCCAAGAUCAAGCCCCAACGACCCUUGGAUCAACCAUUCACCAAUUCAAGAUCAAGCCCCGACGACCCUUGAAGAAAGCACCAUCGUUCAUCAUCCGUUCAUCCAAGAUCAAGCCCCAACGGCCCUUUGGAUCAACAACGUCGACAAAUCCACACAUCCAACCGUUCUUCAAGAUCAAGCCCAAAAGCCCUUGAAGAUCCGUUCAUCACCAUUAUUCAAGAUCAAGCCUCAACGGCCCUUGAAGAAACACUCAUCCUCAAGAUCAAGCCCCACGACUCCUUGAAGAUCCGCUCAAAUCCACCUUCAAAGAUCAAGCCCACGGCCCCUUAAAGAAACUUCCAACAGUUCAUCCAAGAUCAAGCCUCGACGGCCCUUGGAUCAACGAAACAUCCACAAAUCAAUACCUUACGGAGAUCGAAUCAGAGGAUCAAAAUAGAGAGAGAUUGUAACCCAAAAUCAUCAAAUACAAAUAUUAUUUUGUGCACGCUGUUCUUGUCUCUUUCAUUUCAGGAAUUUUCCGUGUUCACAAAUUGGCACGCCCAGUGGGACAAUCUCUACCUCUCAUCUCUUUCUCCGUUCAAGGAAUCCAAACACACCUCAAAGUCAAUGGCAUCAAGCAAGGGACAAGCCCUUCUCGCAACCACUGAAGGAAUGAUCCUAAGCACUUCUGCCGCAAACGGACAAUCCAUUGGCACCACAACCACUCCUCAACAUGCCACUUCAAAGUUGGUGCCGCUAAAAGAGCAAGGGAAGCAUCAAAGAUGUGAGUCUGUCAUCAACCUGACCUCGCUGGGGGCACCGAAGCAUGCUGCUGAGGCACACAAGAUGACAUCCCAAAACAGCCAACGACGUUCUUCGUCAGCAUCUUGGAUGUCUAAAGGAAAGUCACGUCUAUUGGUUAUACAAGUCAUGACCAUCGGCGUUACCUCCAUCGAAGAACAACUGGCUCAAAUGAAUGAAGCAAUCGCAAGGCUAACCCGAACUGUGGAAGAAAAAGACUUGCAAAUUGCAGCAUUAAUUAACCGAUUGGAGGCACAUGACGGCGAGAAACCCGACCCAGAAGAUGAGCCUACGGUGGAGAGAAUCGAUGCGAAGCCGGAGCCAGACCAAGCAGCGGCACUCAUGGGAUCUCUUUCUAUCCAACAGCUGCAAGAGAUGAUCACCAACACCAUCAAGGCACAGUACGAAGGGAGCUCAAAUACAUCUGGGUUGUACUCGAAGCCGUAUUCAAAGAAGAUCAACGCCUUAAGGAUACCGAAGGGUUAUCAACCGCCAAAGUUCAUGCAAUUUGAUGGAAAGGGAAACCCGAAACAGCACGUUGCCCACUUUGUUGAAACUUGCAACAAUGCAGGGACCGAAGAGGACUACCUCGCCAAGCAGUUUGUGUGCUCGCUGAAAGGAAACGCCUUUGAGUGGUACACAGACCUAGAGCCUGAGUCCAUCAACAGUUGGGAGCAAUUAGAGCGGGAAUUUUUCAACCGCUUUUAUAGCACCCGCCGCACUUUGAGCAUGCUAGAGCUAACGAGCACAAAGUAGUGGAAGGACGAGCCAGUCAUUGACUACAUCAACAGAUGGCGCACUCUAAGCCUCGACUGUAAAGACAGGCUCUCAGAAACCUCUUCAAUCGAGAUGUGCAUCCAAGGUAUGCAAUGGGGUUUGCAAUACAUCCUUCAAGGCAUUAAACCACGGACCUUCGAGGAAUUGGCCACCCGCGCCCAUGACAUGGAGUUGAGCAUCGCCCAUCAUGGGAAGAAAGAACCGAUCGCCGACUACAAGAACGACAAAGUUCUUGAGACAAAGAUGGAGAAGGCUACGUGGAAACCCACCAAGAAAGCGAUGACGGUCAACACAUCUCCCGUCAAAAUCUCUACACGAGGCAAGGCGAUUCAAGUCGAAGCUUUUCGUGAUCAAGAGAUGCGUAGACGCACUUUGAAGGAGCUUGAGGAGAAGACUUAUCCAUUCCCCGACUCUGAUGUGGUUGCCAUGCUGGAUGACCUGUUGGACAAGAAGGUGAUCGGUUUACCUGAGUGCAGACGGCCGGAAGAGAUGAAUCGUACCGACAGUCCAAGAUACUGUAAAUUCCACCGCUUCAUCAGUCAUCCGACAGAAAAAUGCUUCGUGCUGAAAGAUCUCAUCAUGAAGCUGGCUCAGAAAGGAAUCAUCGAGCUAGAUCUUGACGAUGUGGUGAAGUCAAAUUAGACCACCAUCACUUAUGACUCUGUCAACUCAAAAUCUUCACCUCAAUCGUUAGGGGCAUGCUCCAAAACCAUGCCAGUCAAGCAAAGCAAAGUUGAAGAAUGGACUCAAGUCACUCCUAAGAAAUUACCCAAGAAGCAUACGUCUCCUCCACAAGUUCGCCAAUCGGAAAGGGGGCAAAGCAGCUCUUGUCAACCUUCAAAGAAAUGUGAACGUGUUAAAGAUGAUGAAAUUGUGACACAAAGAUCGUCCAUUGCCAUCACAAUGCGUGAUUUCUUUCCCGAAGACUUCUUCAAUCACUCGGUCAAGGUUCCUUGCUAUGAAGAUUGUGAGGAACGCCUCUCCAAAAUUGCUUGACAAAAUUCACAAACUCUCCUCGCCCGCACGAGUCUAAACUGCAUGGCACAAAGCUCCUGGUCUGCACAAGCAUAAAAGGCAAAACCAAACACUCCUUGCCUGCACGAGUCUAAACUGCAUGGCACAACGCUCCUGGUCUGCACGAGCAUAAAAGGCAACACCAAAUGCUCAUUGUCUGCACGAGUUGAAACUGCAAACGACACCAACACUCCUUGCCUGCAUGAAUUAAAACUGCGUACGGCACAAAAAAUCCAUUGCUCAUUUGAGCUACGUUUUGACUUGAUCUCUUUCUUUGGAAGGGUACGUAGGUAGCUUGAAUAUUCAAUUUCAAGUUCAGUCACAUCAAAAUAAAAAAUAAUAAUAAGUGUUUUAUUAAAUAGAGUCAAUUUUAUUACAAAAAAAAAUGAAUACAUAUGUUAUUAUGUAUUUACAAAAACAAAAAAAAACAAAAAAAAAAAAGAAAGGAAAAAAAAAGGAAUAUACAAGUAUUUUAUAUAUAUAUAUGUGUGUGUGUGUGUGUGUGUAUAUAUAUGCAUAUACAUAACUACCAAAAGCCCAAGCCCAGUUCUUGGACCUACAGCCUUCAUUUCCUGUAAAGUCCAGGCCCAAGUAAACUCCGUUCCAUCGACUGCAGGGCACCGCCCUCUGGACCAUCUUCCCCCUCUCUGUAAUCAACAUCCCUGCUCUCCGCCGUUUGAAAAAAAAAAAAACCGUUGUUGAGAAGCAACUGCAACCAUGGCGUGCUACAACAAGGUUGCCCCGAGCCCUCUGCUAAAAGCCCAGUGCCGUCAUCAAUUCCUCAUCAUCUCUGUCUCUUUGUCUUCAUCAAAGGCAGCAACGAUUUGAUUAACUCGGGCGACACUCACAAAUCAGCUCGUCCAGACAGUCGUGGAGCUUAAAUUGCAGAACAAAUUCCUCAAAUCUCAGUUCGAAUGAUUCUAGAAUCUUCAACUGCCAAAGCACGGAAGCAAUAACAAUGGGAUCUCGAGCAGGAGAAUGGCGACUGGGAAGUUCCUGGACCUCGAAGGCGGGCAAAGGCGGUGGAGCUCGCAUAAGAGAAGAAGUCUGGGAAGAUGAGUCAGUGCUCUGCUGUAUGCGGGAGUUGCUAGAUUUUUUUUCAAUAGUGGCAGCAGUGGAGGGCAUAAACCAAAUAGUGACCGGAGAAUUGGUGUCUCUCUCAGAACAAGAGCUUGUCGACUGUGACACGUCCUACAACGCCGGAUGCAAUGGCGGUCUCAUGGACUACGCCUUCGAGUUCAUUAUCCUAAAACGGCGGCAUUGACACUGAAUCCGACUAUUUAAUCUGUUGAUGUUGACUAGCACCGAAACCAGGCAGGAGCAGAUGACGGCGGUGCGGAAAGAGAAGUUAUUAGCUAUGGUGCGCACACCCACACCCCACACGCGAACCGGGUCCAAUGGAAUGACUCCGUUUCGAUCUACACCAGGCCCAAGCCCAGUCUCUCCACCGCCUCACACACCGUCAAACACGGUGGUGUCUCCGACCUUGUCUAUUCAAAGCUCAGAAUUGCCAGAAAACCCAAUUGGCCUGUCCCAUCCGGCGCCAGCCACGACAUGCUUAACUACCAAGGCAAUCAGCACCACCGCCACUGCCACCACCUCGACUGGAAAUUGCAACAAUGGUAGUAGUGUAUUCGCACCUUCCUCCGCUUCAGCGUUGAUGACACAGCCACCCCAAGCAUCGUCACCGUCCUCAUUCACCAAUCAAGUAUCCACAUUGGGCACCCUGGAUGGCUCUACCACAACCUCCGCCAUUAAUGAACCCACAUCACUCUCGCCCUCUCCUUCUACCUAUCAGCAGACAACAGCAGCCUAGCAAGCGGCGGUGCAGUUUUUUUCUACUCUGCCCUCCUCCACCCCAAAAACCCCAAAAAAAAUAAUAAUAAAAAUUUCGGUUUUCCGUUCGGUUACUCUGUCGCGCCCGGUUCGGAUCCCGGACGAUUUAUCCCAAAAAAUCUCAGAAAAAAAACCAAAAAAUCAGCCAGAGUUUCACUUCCGGUCCUUGGGUUUUUCUAAAUUUUUAGUUUCGAUCCUUUGAGUUUGCAGAAAAAUCUUCCCAACAAAAAGAGGAAAUUUUGAAGUGAGGGUUUUUUGAUUUUGGUGUGACAUGACUCAGAUUCAAGUUCAGCACCAGCAGCAGCCUCCUGCGAGUGGCCCGAACGUUGUGGCGGCGAACGUCGGCGGUGGCGCCCCUCAGUUUGUUUCGACGUCGCUGUACGUUGGGGAUCUCGACCAGAAUGUAACCGACUCGCAGCUGUACGAUCUGUUCAACCAGGUCGGUCAGGUCGUGUCGGUGAGGGUCUGCAAGGACUUGAGCACUCGCCGAUCUCUGGGCUAUGGUUACGUCAACUAUAGCGCUCUUCAGGAUGCUGCGAGGGCACUGGAAGUUCUGAACUUCACUCCACUAAAGCCCAUGAACAAAGCCAAAAGAUCACCAUCUCCUCCACCAUCGAGGUUGUCCCUGCCUUGCCUCCGCUCAGUUCGAGGGUCUUGGGUUCGAGUUUGUCCUUCUUUGCCUCGCUGCUGUGCCGUGGGACUUGGAUUGCAUCCCUCUCCUCCUCGACGCUAUGCACUACCUCCUCCUUCUUCCGUCUCUCGGACUCGGCCUGGGUUUUCACCCACGAACCCAGCUUGCAGAGAGCACCAUAUAUAAAAAAUAAAUAAAAAAUAAAAAAGAGAAUAAACUUACAAGGGUUUCGGUGCAUCAGGCACCAUACAAAAGAAACAAUAAAAAAAUAAAAAUAUAUUAAAAUUAUAUAUAUAUAUAUAUAUAUAUAUGGAUGGUGCAUCAGGCACCAUACAAAAGAAACAAUAAAUAAAUAAAUAAAUAAAUAUUAAAAUAAAUAUAUAUAUAUAUAUAUAUAUAUAUAUAUAUAUAUAUAUAUAUAUAUAUAUAUAUAUAUGGAUGGUGCAUCAGGCACCAUGUGCCAAAAAAAAAAGAAAAAAAAAAGGGAAUGGUGGAUCAGUCCAUGUGAAAAAUUAAUAUGUAUGUAUGUGUGUGUGUGUGCAUAAUAUAUGUAUGUUUACAGCAAACAAAAAAAAAAAAAAAAAAAAACAAAUGCAUUGAGAGAAAUAAAGUCCGUUUUUAUUUAUUUUUUCUGGAAAUUUUACAUAAAUUUGCAUUAUACAUACUUAAAAAAAAAAAAUCAAAUCAAAUUUACAAGAGGGGAUCUUCAAGGACGAUCAGGUGCCACCUCACCACUCGGCAGAGCUCCAGAAAUGAGAGGCGCCGAAGGUUGACUGUUUGAAGCCACACCACUCGGCGGAACUCCAGGAAGAAGAGGAGCCAAAUGUUGAUCAUUUAGAGCUUCAUUACGCGAUACAGCCCCAGAAAACGAAGGCAAAUGUUGUUGGAACAAACCCACAAACCUCUAAUGAUCAAGUAAAAUCUGACCAUCAGAGUCCUGCAUCUGGUCAAUCUUCCUCUUCAUGUUUGUCGCAUAGCUAUGUGCGAGCUUAUGCAACUGUUUAUUCUCCUGCUUGAGCCCUUUAAUCUCCUGUUUGAGACUCAUCACUUCAGCCGCUAAUGAUUCAACUUGACGGGUUCGAGCAAAUAGACGUUGGGCCAUAUUAGACACAGAACCUGCACACUGCACACUGAGAGCCAGAGAAUCCUUAACAGCCAACUCAUCAGACCGUUUGGAAAGUAGUCUGUUAUCUUUGGGAGUGACAAGGUUCCUGGCCACCACCGCAGCGGUCAUAUCAUUCUUCAUCAUCGAAUCCCCAACGGUAAGAGGACCAGUAGGGGAUAUGAAAGAUGGGCGCCAUAUGUUGUCUGGAGAAGGCGGGACUGCCUCUUCACUAAGAUUCAAAUCAAAACGACGGUCGGAGGGUCCAGACAUUUUCAAAGGUGUUGAAAAAAUAAGAAGUCGGACAAAAUCAAGAUCUUAGAAGUGCACAAAGGGAGUUUCUACAAGCGAAAAUUCAAGUGAGCUUUGAAACGAACUGCGUGCCUCUAUAAAAAAUCAACACUCGACGGGAUUUCAGAGAUCGAAGAGGCGAUCUCAGAAUUCGAAGAGGCCAAUUCAAAAAUCGAAGAGGCAAGACUCAGAAAUCGGAGAAGCAUCUUGCUUUUCCAAACACGUCAGCACCCGUCACGCGCAAAUUCAGCUUUGCGGAAAUCACGGGCAAGUUGUCGAAGCGCCGAUCCCAGAUAUCGAAGAGGCGCCAGUCUUUUUCAGCCUCGUCAGCACCCGUCACGCGCAAACUCAGCUUUACGGAAAUCAUGGGCAAUUUGUCGAAGCGCCAAUCCCAGAUAUCGAAGAGGCGCCAGUCUUUUUCAGCCUCGUCAAAACCUGUCAUAUGCACACUCAGCUUGACGAAAAUUACGGACAAUUUGUCGAAGAUUUCUGAUAAAGAAGAAAGCACGUGAAGCCAUACUGAUCAAUCACGCAUUGGUUGCCGACACGAGUAAAAGAAUAGUACCUCUACAGGUACUAAAGAAUUUCCUAUAACUGUCCACCUUCACCCUCCAUAGCAAGGUAGACAUACAUAACCUUUCUUCAUCUCCGAGAAUGCCUUCCCAACAAAGCCUCUCGAGUCACUCAGUGUUUCUUAUUCCUUGGGGUAUCUCUGCAAACAAAUGACACCAAAGCAAAAGUAUCUCAUAUCACCAGGGUAGAAAGCAAGAGUAUCUCAUAUCAUGCGUUCUCCCUGUCCUUUCCUUUGUCCUUGUUCUUACCUACAAAGACAAGGAUAAAGAAAACAAUAUGCCGGAACCUCCACUCAAACUCCGAUGCCACAUUUGCCUGGAGAACAUAUAAGGCAAGUGAAAAUGAUACCUUGCAGCAUGUGGAGACAACGUGCAGAAGAAACAAGCAGAGAAGAAUGCAGUCUUCACAGUCAGCUCAGCAGAAGGAGUCCGAGCUGAGGAACUCAAGAAGCUGCCACAUCUGCCUGAAGAAACAAGCAGAGAAGAAUGCAGCCUGCACAGUCAGCUCAGCAGAAGGAGUCUGAGCUGAAGAACUCGAGAAUAUGCUACAUUCUGCCAGAAGAAUAGAUAAGACAAGGGAAAAUGAUACAUUGAAGCAUGUGGAGACAAGCACAACAAAGCACGUGCCGAUUCAUCCGUUACUUCUUCAAAAUCAAAAGUAUCUCAUAUCAUCAGGUUUGCAAUCACUCUGGGUGGAGGACUCGUUUUGACCCUCAAAUUCUUGGGUCGACUUGCUAGGCGUUGUGGGCUGCAUGUGCUGUUUCACCACCCUUGGAUCAAAUCCUUAAAGAUCAAGUCACCAACUGGAAAAAGAACCCAUCAAUCUUGAAGAUCAUACCGUUGACCAAACUACUCAGGUGUGAAUUAGAAAGAUUGAACAAAGCAACAAGCCGUCACCUUCACCUCGUGCCUGCUUGCCAUGUGUUCGAGUCAACCUUCAAGAAUCAAGCCUCAACGGCCUUUGAAGAAGUUUCCGGCCAAAUUCAAGAUCAAGCCUCGAUGGCCCUUGAGGAAAUCACAAGUCCGAUUCAAGAUCAAGCGUCCACCAUAUUUGAAUCAAAUCCAGUUCAAGAAUAAGCUGUGGAAAAUCAACAAUUGGAGGAAUCCAGAAAAUCCUCCAACCCAGUUCAAGAUCAAAGCUGUGGAAAGUCAACAAGCGCAACAAAAUACGUGCCGAUUCAUCCACUACCAAAGCCAAAGAUCAUCUACCACAUGAAACUCCUUGUGGUCCAAUUUCAACCUUCAAGAUCAAGCCUCAACAGCCCUUGAAGAAAUCUCCAACCCAAUUCAAGAUCAAGCCUCAACGGCCCUUGAAGAAAUCUCCAGCCCAAUUCAAGAUCAAGCCUCGACGGCCCUUGGAUCGACAUCUACAUUAAGGGACUUCAAAACGCAUCUCCUACACGUGACAAGCACAUGUAUACGACGCGCCUUGAAGUGGGGGCAUUUGUAGACAUCGAAAUUUCGGUAAAUAAAUGUUGACCGAUAAAUCAAAGUUUCAACGCUCAUGUAUUACAUAAAUUUUACACGUAGCGUGUGUCUAAACAAAAAAUCGAAAUAAGUUAGAAAAGUCAUCAAACUGGACACGUGUCAACACCUGGCAGAAACGACUUAUUUCAUCUGGAAUAUUAUAUUCAAAAUUAGGCCUUGGAAAUUUCUAUAAAUAGAAGGCUAAUUCAUUCAUUUGAGGGGGGAACCAAUUCAUAUUACACCUUGAAGCUCUGAAGCUCUGAAACUCCGAAGCUCUCAAGCAUCCAGGUUCCCGAAGAAUCAAGAAAGCCUUCUUCAUUCUUCGUUCAUCGUUCUUCCAAGAUCAAGCCCCAACGGCCCUUUGGAUCAACAAUCAUCCACCAAUUCAAGAUCAAGCCCCGACGGCCCUUGAAGAAAGUGUUCUUCGUUCUUCGUUCAUCGUUCUUCCAAGAUCAAGCCCCAACGACCCUUUGGAUCAACAAUCAUCCACCAAUUCAAGAUCAAGCCCCGACGGCCCUUGAAGAAAGUGUUCUUCGUUCCUCGUUCAUCGUUCUUCCAAGAUCAAGCCCCGACGGCCCUUGGAUCAACCAUUCACCAAUUCAAGAUCAAGCCCCGACGACCCUUGAAGAAAGCACCAUCGUUCAUCAUCCGUUCAUCCAAGAUCAAGCCCCAACGGCCCUUUGGAUCAACAACGUCGACAAAUCCACACAUCCAACCGUUCUUCAAGAUCAAGCCCAAAAGCCCUUGAAGAUCCGUUCAUCACCAUUAUUCAAGAUCAAGCCUCAACGGCCCUUGAAGAAACACUCAUCCUCAAGAUCAAGCCCCACGACUCCUUGAAGAUCCGCUCAAAUCCACCUUCAAAGAUCAAGCCCACGGCCCCUUAAAGAAACUUCCAACAGUUCAUCCAAGAUCAAGCCUCGACGGCCCUUGGAUCAACGAAACAUCCACAAAUCAAUACCUUACGGAGAUCGAAUCAGAGGAUCAAAAUAGAGAGAGAUUGUAACCCAAAAUCAUCAAAUACAAAUAUUAUUUUGUGCACGUUGUUCUUGUCUCUUUCGUUUCAGGAAUUUUCCGUGUUCACAAUAAUAUACUAGCGGAUAAGACACUUUCGACGCCCUUUUUACAUGGUGUUGGAAUUACUAUUGGGUAUAACCACAUAAACUAUCUAUGUCGCUUAUAACCAACAUAGAUUGUUAAUGUCGCUUAUAACCGACAUAGCUUAAUCUUUUUAAAUGGUGGUGUCAUAUAAAAAGAAAAUCGUAUCGCUUUCAACCGACAUAAAGUUAGUGUCGAUUAAAAAAAAAUCGUGUCGUUUCUACCUGACACUAAUAAUUAUUUUUUAUAUAUUUUAAAACCCGAUGUCGGUUGUAGCCGACACUAAUAAUUAUUUUAAAAUAUUUUAAAAUCCGGUGUCGGCUGUAGCCAACACGUUGGUGUUCUUUAUCCAAUGCUCCGACAAGUCACCACAAAAAGACUUGGAUUGCCAGCAUGUCAUUAACUCACAGCUGUUCAUCGUUAUAAAAAAAUCAGAACCAUUCCCUUAUUUGAAACCAAUCCAAUUGGCCACCCCAAAAGCACUUGGAUCACCAACGUGGCAAACCCCACUAUAAAACACCACGCACCAAACCACUCCAUAUCAAAAUUCAAAUCCGAGCGCAUCUCAGUUCCCAACAAUUCGUUUUCCCUCCUAAACGAAUCAUUUUCAUUUCCCAAAAAACUCAGAGAGAAUGGAAGCCACGAAAGCUACCAAGGGCAUUGGCGGAAGAAGAGGCAGAAAGAUGAUGAAGUUGGUGUUCAAGUCAGUUAAAGCUGGCCUCCAAUUCCCCGUCGGCCAUAUCGCACAUUUCCUAAAAAAGGUACGCUACACCCAACGUACCAGUACCGGCCUCCAAUUCCCCAUCGCCCGUAUCACUUGUUUCCUUCAAUUCCCCUUUUGCUUCUAGCUCCCAUUUCAUGUAAAUUUUUUUUUAAUUAUUAUUAAUUAAAAACAAAGACAGAUUAUUUUUAUUUUUAUUAUUAAUAGUUUGUGGUGUCCCUUAUGGGCAACAAUAUAUUGGUUAUUUUAUUUAUUGAAUUGUUAGGUGGCGUCGGUUAGGACUGACACCAAUCUGCUCCAUCCGACAAUCUUUGUCAGUACUUAGUGUUGCUUGUAUCCAACGUGAGCCUCGAUGUCACUUUUAAUCGAUGCUACUAUCCUUUUUUAUUUUAUAUUGCUUUCCUUCUUUGUGGUGGAUUAAGGAGACUAACCGACAUCAAAAGCCUUUUCAUGACGCUAGCAUUAGUGUCGGUUCUAUUAUCCGAUGUUGCAUGAGUUUAUGUCAGAUUUUUACCAAAUAUCCGAUAGAAAUUAUAUUUUCUUGUCGGUUUUUGGACCGCCAGUUAUAAGUAAUUUUGUAGUAGUGUUUGGCUGAAGGGAUGAGCAUCGAUGCAGAUUUUACAGAGGUCGGAAGAGGCGGUGGGACAGGUGUUGGGCUUGGGACUUCAAGAGGGGAGGUGGGACAGGACGUAGGAGAGCAUGGGAAAUUUGGAGAGGUUGUGAUCUAUUGGAUGAGAUGGAAUAAGAUGGGAUGAGAUGGGAUGAAAUCGAAGAUAUGGGGUCAGAGAUACGAAGAAUGAGUGGUGGUUCUUGAAGAAAGUUGAGGUUUCACCAUAAAACCAAUUAGUAAUAUAGAGAGUAGCUCAACUUACUUAUAAGCUCAUGCAAGGUCCAUCCUCCCAUUAAUGUGGAAUUUAUUCUCAACACGCCUCCUUACAUGUGGUGAAUUUUUAAGCCUAACAUGUGGAUAGUACAACGGGGUGAUGUGGAGCACGUGUGGCCGUUCCACACCUGGGACAACCUGCUCUAAUAACACGAAAAAAGUUGAGAUUCAACCAUAAAACCAAUUGACAAUAUGGGGAGUAGCCCAACUUAGCCCAUGUAAUGUCUCUCCUCCAUUAAUGUGGGAUUCAUUCUCAACAGUUCUGUCUGUGUGAGUGAUGACUUAUGCGAUUGGAUUUGAUUGGAUUUUGAAAAAGAAAAAGAAGGAUGUUAGACCAAGUCUCAAAGUUUGCUCUCUUCUCGGCUGCUAGGAAAUUGUUAGAUGUCCGCCAUUACUUUUCUUCUGCUUCUGGACAUCAAAUUAACUUUCAUAUGUCUUCGCUUUAUUUUUCAAACAAUGUUUCUACUCAUGGUAAGGUGACUAUUAGACAGGUUUUGCAAAUCCGACAUCGCCAUUCCAGAGGUAAAUUUGGGACUUCAUAAUGUGGUUUUUUGCAUUGGCGGAUCUAUUAAGGGGCAGUAGGGGUCAUCUGGCCCUCCCAACUUUGGCAAACCUCAAUGGAAAACCUCAAUGCUGCCCAUUUGAGGUUCAGAGUUAUCCUUGAGAUAUGCCCUCUAACUGCUUGAUGGAAUGCCUCAAUGAAUGGGCAGCGCAGGGAAUUGUAUACAGCGUGGAUGAAGGUUGCAUCGUGCCUUUGGCUCCAAUAAUACAUCAGAGUUUGGUGUUGCAGCCUCUGUUUUUCUACCUCUGGAUUUCCUAAACUUGCCUCAACCCGCCAAGGAAUUUCCUAAAGAAAAGUGGAUAAGUCCAUAGCUGCCACUUCCACCGUUUCAAACCCUAUUUGCUUCGAAGUAGUGCCAUCAUUCAUUUGGAAGUGUGCCUUUGAAGCAAUACCAAGUCAUUUUAUACAUUUAUAAAAAAUAAGACCCAUCCACUUGAAAAAAACUUAAGCUUCUAAUUAAUCUAGACAAUAUAAACCCAAAUCUUUAUAAUCUUAAACUCUACCUAAUCCCAAACCAAAUUCCAGAUUUAUAAAAUUUCAAUAUUCAUUGUAUUAAUAAUGAAAUUAUUGUAACAAUUUCGACGAAAACGUGUAGUAAAUAAUUGCCGUUUGUAAUGGACAUUUGUAGUUUGUAAUGCUAUUUAUUCAUAAAUUAUGAAUGAUGGAAUUAUGAUUUAAUUUUUAUGGCUAUUUGUUGUUGAGAAAAUGUGUAUAAAUUUUUACACUUGACCCUAAACAAUUUUUCAUGAAUUCGCCACUGAUUUUUUGCAAUGACCCUAUUAAGGAGAAAGAGCCCAUUCUCUAAGUGCAACAAAAGCUUGCGGGAUGGAACUUACACUUUAAAAGCCAACUAUUUCUAGCACGCCUAAUCAUAUUUUUCCUUGUUUUCCGUGUCCUCCUUGGAACAGCUAAAGCUAUUGAGCAGGUGAGUCAGGAUUUUUCUGGAGUUCUUCAGGGACUCAUCCUCCUAUCGCUUGGACAUUCCUCUAAAGAUAAAGGUGACCUUGGUGUUAGACUUGUGCUUCAUUUUAAUUAGGCAUUGUUGAUUGUAGAAAUAUUCUCUUUUAUAAAAAUACUACUUUCACCGUCUAUUGAUGUCAUAUCUCUAAUAGAAAUAAGACUCACAUGCGUUGACAGACCCUACCUCUAUUAGAGAGAUGGUAGGGCCAACCAAAAUUUGUACUAUCUCUCUAAGUGUAGCAUUACAUUCGUUGUAUAGCUAGCAAUGGUAGAGAUUCUAGGCUUUAAAUUGGGCUUUUGAUAAACCGCUUGUUUCUCUUUUAUCUGAUUCUGAAAGGUAAAUUAUUAAUUAGUCCAUCACUAUUUGUGAUCUUAUUACUAAUAGAGCACUGCUUGAGAGAUUAUAUUUUGAGACUAAAUUUUGAAAACUAAAGAACAUGUAAGUUGAUGAUUGAUGUAUUACUUAGUGUUGAUAGACGUGCUCAUUUCUAUUGGUGAACAUCAUUUAGUUUGCAAUUUUAGUCUCUAAAUUUAAUCAAGUGGUGUGGACUAAUUCGUUGCCUCGUAAGGCUCGUGAGGCGUGGCUUUGGGACUUAAGCUAGUUCUUCUUGCCCUAGGGGCUUUUCCUUGCAAUUUUACUUGCAUCCCAAAAAAGAAAAAAAAAAAAAAACUCACAUAGUCAAGGUUAUGUGUAACUAUAGGUGAAUAAUUUUUAUUGGUCUGAGUGAGUUUCAGACACAGGAAACUUAUCCCCCUUUAAUUCUUACCAUUUUAUAGGGGUAGAAAGAAUAAGUUUCCGUUAUGAUUUAUCAGUCUUCCACUUUAAACUGGACAACAUUUUUUGCUUCCUUUUCUGAAUGUAGCUUGAAUUUAGUGACUUCUCCAAUCCAAUUCAAAACACCUACGAGUUAUGGUACUCAGUAAAAAUGAAGAAAAUUUCAAGCCUCUAAUUAAAAAAGUCUCAUAAAGUAAAAUUUCAAACCAAAAGUCACCAUCCUUACUUUUUUUCUUACAAUCAAACAUGUGUAAAAGGUAAUCAUACAGUGAUCAUCGUGUAAAUUUCAACCCAAACAUAUAAUAAUGAGCACCUCCCAGAGAGAGAGAGAGAGAGAGAGAGAGAUGUUUCUAGUCUUCUAGAAACCCUAUGCAGGAAAGAUGGAUGUAGUACUCCAUAGUUGGAGUUAGGAUUGAAUUUUAUGCGAAGCUUGGAAGACAAAAGGAGGUGAGUGUGUAGAAAAAAUGUAACGGAAACGCUUACAUACUGUCGUGCGGGUUGGUCACCAUUUUAACCACUCUUGGUAAACUUUGCCCACACUAGUUAUAGUUAAUUAAAUAAAUUAGAAAAAGAAGAUAAGCCACCUAUAGCCUACAGCCAACCAUUAUAUACGAAUUGAAAGAUCUUUGAACUGUCAAUUAUGCAAAAUUCUUUGCCGUAAACAAACUAUCAUGAUCAUACGCAGUUCCAAACAUGCAAUCUAAUUAAUUAAAAAAUUUGCAGCAUAUCAAGCAAUCUAGCCAUGAAUGCAUCCAUAUAUAUAUAUAUGCUAUAUUUGAUCUUAUUUAAGACAAUAACCAAACUAAUUAAACUUCAUAUAGAGUGUUAAUCUCUUAUCAGGUAUAUGUGUAUAAGGAGCUGAGUCAUUUCUUAGUUAUAUUGUCAAUUGAUUUUAUAAUAGAACCUCAACUUUCUUCGGUUUAUUUUAUGGUGCAACCUCAACUUCUUUUAUGAUAAUAGAGCAUGCUAACCUAUCAUACGCAGUUCCAAACAUGCAAUCUAAUUAAUUAAAAAUUUUGCAGCAUAUCAAGCAAUCUAGCCAUGAAUGCAUCCAUAUAUAUAUAUAUAUGCUGUAUUUGAUCUUAUUUAAGACAAUAACCAAACUAAUUAAACUUCAUAUAGAGUGUUAAUCUCUUAUCAGGUAUAUGUGUAUAAGGAGCUGAGUCAUUUCUUAGUUAUAUUGUCAAUUGAUUUUAUAAUAGAACCUCAACUUUCUUCGGUUUAUUUUAUGGUGCAACCUCAACUUCUUUUAUGAUAAUAGAGCAUGCUAACCUAUCAUACGCAGUUCCAAACAUGCAAUCUAAUUAAUUAAAAAUUUUGCAGCAUAUCAAGCAAUCUAGCCAUGAAUGCAUCCAUAUAUAUAUAUAUAUAUGCUGUAUUUGAUCUUAUUUAAGACAAUAACCAAACUAAUUAAACUUCAUAUAGAGUGUUAAUCUCUUAUCAUGUAUAUGUGUAUAAGGAGCUGAGUCAUUUCUUAGUUAUAUUGUCAAUUGAUUUUAUAAUAGAACCUCAACUUUCUUCGGUUUAUUUUAUGGUGCAACCUCAACUUCUUUUAUGAUAAUAGAGCAUGCUAACCUAUGUGUUAGCCCAACAGCUCAUGUGCUCCCAAUAUGUGUUGCCUAAUGCUUACGUUUUAGACUUAAAUAACGUCACGCAUAAUUCCAUGAAGGGUGUGUUAAGAAUGUGAAUUUCACAUCAAGAAAUUAAGGGAUCUUACGUGUGUUUUUCUAAGGAGUUGAACUUCUCCUUAACUUGGUUGAGAUGUCAAUUGAUAACAGUAAUUUAUGAUUGAAUGAAAAGGGAUAUACGCUGCAGAUUACCAUGUUCCCAUUGUACUCACUGUAGUAGUAGCGUAGACAGGGUUUGGUGGGUAGAAAUGGGUGAAGGUGGUUGGACUGGAUCAUGGAAUUAAAAACAAAAUACAUGAAAUCUGGUACAACAGAAACAAAACCUCGUGCCAAAAUACUUGCCACUCAUCUUCUACAAAAUUUUAUUUAAAAUGACACAAUGUCAUAUCCACUUUGAUUGAAUCAUUCGUAGUCAAUGCCAAGCCUCACAGACGACUACUAGAAAAUACAUAUACCCCUCCCUUACGUUCAUGUAUAGUAGCUGGGGUGUUUUGGUAAUUUAAUUAUUUGAUUCCAUUAUAAAAUUUGUACUUUUCAAUCGCCAUCUUUGUCAAAGUGUUAGCUGUAAUUAUCAACAUAUAAAAAGACUAAUGUGGCUAAUGACUAUGGCUUCUUCUUCUUGAAGAUUGAGUUUAUACAACACAAAGUACACACCAUUAAUACCUGAUCGCCUUGAGCUUUACUUUUAAGCUAGCCAGCAUCAGAUAUCCGUACCAGGGUUUCUGCUGGCAUCAAAAUCGAAUCCACUUGGUUUGUUUAUCGAAUCAAGAAUGCAAGAGAGUCUUCCUCCAGGUUUCAGAUUCCAUCCUACAGAUGAAGAACUGAUAACGCACUAUUUGUGCCAUAAGGUUUCUGAUGUUAGUUUCACGUCGAAGGCUGUAGCAGACGUUGAUCUCAAUAAGUGUGAACCUUGGGACCUCCCAGGUAUAUAUGGUCAGAUUAUGUUUAUAUAAGUGUAUCAUGUUCAACCCUAUUCUUCUGUUCAUCUGCCUCACAUGUUUGCCUUCUUCCUAUAAUAUUAUCUGAUUAUUCCUAGUUUUCUAUGAUAUUUCAUUCUUCUUAUUCCUUAGAGGCUUUUAGUAACGAUCUUGAUGAUGAUCACAAUCUGUCUUUCUUUAAUUUGCCUAAUGGCUUUGUUGAAUUUAUGUAAGUAAAGCAGUCUUUCCUGAAAAUUACAUGUAAUUCAAACAGGAAGAAAGGAUAGUAUAGGAGCAGAUUUAGGCUUAGCCAAGUUGGCUAGAGCACUAAGUUGAAGCUCUAUCCCCGUUUAGAUUAAUUCAAUUCUUUUUAGUCAAAAUGGUUUGAGAUUUGCAUAAAUCCUCACUUUGGACCAUGAGAUUUAAAAUCAAUAAAACUGGUUUAUUAGCUUGUCCACCAUCAAUUAUUUUCGUCAUUUCGUGAAAAUCACGUUAAAUAAGAAAAAAAAAUGAAAAAAAAAUACCCUCAAUUUUUGUCAAAUUAUUUUUCCAUUUUAAUCCUUAUUUUAACAGAAAUUUUUCAUGAAAUGACCAAAAUGAUUGAUGGUGGACAAACUCUUGGACCACUUCUAUCGAUUUCAAAUCUGAAUGAUUAAAGUGAGAAGUUAUGCCAAUCUCAGAAAGUAUUUUAGAUAAAAAAAAACCUUAAUUCAAUAUGCUUGGAUAAAAAAGAGAAUAAAGAAAACUAUGUUCCAAUCUCUUCCUACCAAAUACAUAUUUCCCAUGACAUUUUUUCGGACUUUCUUAGGUUUACAGUAGAUAUUUUGUUUAAAAAGGAUAGUGCUAUUCGCACACUAUUUUUACCUCUCACACAUUUAUUUUAAUUUUUUGCCGUUGAUUUUUUAAAUUCAUUAGAUUCGAUGGCCGAAAAUAAGAGGGGUGUGCAAGAAGUAAAAUUGAAAAAAUGGGUAUGUAGAUAACACUAUCCUAAAACAAUGCAAUUAGACCUUUAAAAAUUGUUUCACAAUAUACAUUUCUUAUACUAAUUUACCAACAGAUAUACUUGAAUACAAUUUUUCAGAACGUUCUUAAGUAGCUUAAGUAUUCAUACUUUUGAUAGGAAUAUAUUUUGACAGUAACGUAUUUAACCGAUAAAUGCAACUUACAACAAACUAAAUUAUUAUGUGGUUGGUGAAGGCAAGGCUUCGAUGGGAGAGAAAGAAUGGUACUUCUUCAACCUGAGAGACCGAAAAUAUCCAACUGGACUUCGAACCAACCGAGCCACGGAAGCCGGGUACUGGAAAACAACUGGGAAAGACAAGGAAAUACAUCGUACAGGUGUACUGGUUGGGAUGAAGAAAACCCUAGUUUUCUACAAGGGCAGAGCUCCUAGGGGUGAGAAAAGCAAUUGGGUCAUGCAUGAAUACAGACUAGAAAACAAGCAUCCUUUCAAAUCCUCAAAGGUACAAAUUACUACAGAAGAAAACAAUUGGAUCGUUUGGGACUGCUAUCUUAAAACCACUUCUACUGAUAAGCACUUUUUUCUUAGAAGUGCUUACCUGAAAAACAAUUGGAGGUUCUUCUAAAAAGGUGUUUUUCAGAGAGUUAUUCUAUUAAACAUAAAAACUAAGUUUUUUAGUAAAAAAUAGUCAGUUGCGCUUUUGUUGUCAUAAAGUGCCUUAAGCUAUUUCAGAAAUAGUCUCAAAUGCCUUUAUCGAUUAUAUUUAUAAUUCUUUAAUUUGCUAGGUUUAAUUUUUUUAUUGGUUUCACAAUAUGCAGGAAGAAUGGGUGGUUUGUAGAGUUUUCCAAAAGAGCAUUAGUGCAUUGAAAAAGCCACAGCAAGCAACCACAUCCUCCCAUCAGCAGCCGUCGAUAGAAUCUCCAUGCGACGAUACGAACUCAAUCGUUAACGAAUUCGGAGACAUCGAGCUGCCAAACCUAAACAGCAAUAUUAACGCAAAUUCAUCCAGCGGGUUCAGCAACAACAUUUCCUCACCCCCAAGCUAUUACAGCAAUAUUAUUGAUCAUAGCAAGAACAACAUUAACGACGUUACCAACAUGAGUUUGAACAUGAAUUGGGCAGCAACAGCGGCGAGAGAGGCAGCCGUGAACGCCGUUUCAUGGCCGUCAAGCUUGCUAAGUCCCUCAAAUCUUUCGGUGAAUUCGUUGCUUCUUAGGGCAUUACAUCUUAGGAGUAGUACUAAUAAUAACGGUAGUAAUUAUCAACCAAGAGAUACUAAUCAUGGUCAAGCUACAGCAGGCACUAGUACUCUAGAUUACUCAUCAUAUAAUACUAUGCAGCAGCAAGGAAUGAUGCCGUCAAUCUCUCAUCACAUUGGAUCCAGUACUACUAUGGAUCAUAUAAAUUCAAAUUUUCAAGCUUCUUCGUCGAGUAUUAAAGAUCAGAUGAUGGAAUCGAUGCCGCCACAACAACAUUCGGAGCAACCAUUCAAUUUGGACUCCAUUUGGUGAAGCUGUGAACUGUACAGCCUGAUCAAAUGAAUAAGCUAAUAACAUCUUGUAAAGUUCGGCAUCGUUACGGUACUAAGCCUGAGCUGGUUAUGAAACAAAUGCAGUAUACCACAGGGAGAGUAGACUCACAUGCACGUACGUAAAGUUCGAUAAUGUUCCAUAUAUUUAUAACUAUGAUAGAUUAUUAUGUCGAAAAAUAAUAGGGUUCUUGCCCUAGUUUAUGGGUCUGUUUAAUUAUGUUGAAGAGUUAUAGUAUUAUGCUGGUAGGGAAAACUCCCUAUGUUAAAUCUGUACCCUCUUAUAUUAUGAAAACAUGUUUCUCAUGAUCAAACAUCUCAACACAUUUCUCUUUCAAAGUUCAUAAGGUAAUCUACACGAUGAUGGUAAUGGUUAAGAAAAUGAAAGUUCAUCAAUCAUCAUUGACAAGAAUUUUUUUGUCAUUAUUAUAACAAAAUUCGAACCAAAUUAGUAGCUAAAUGCAGAGGUUCGAGAUUCCAAAAAAAUAUAGAUUAUUCAGAUCCACACAAUGCCCUACGAGCGGUUGAUUUAUGUUAAUUAUGUAUGAACUAGAUACUAACCACAUUUAGAAAAAUAAUAAUUAUCCUUAAAUCGACUAAAACAUUGUCAAGGAAUAUCUGUUUACACGGACUUACCUGAAAUGAGUUGGAAUGAGCAUUAGAAUGAAUCCCAUCCAUGAAUUCUCUACGUUUUAUUAAUAAAUAUGAAAUAAAAAAAUACGUAUAUUACAACAUGUAAUCUUCCGGCGGCCACGAUUUUACUGAUGGAAAAAAUCCAGCAGACUUAUAAAAAUAAAUAAAAAAUGCAGCCCAAAUCAUAAUAAACUGCCAUUAAAGACGCAACCCAGACCUAUUAACCGUUAAAACAAAGAAAAACUAAUGAAAAUAGCUUGAAUAACUCGUUUGAAUGUGCUUUUAGAGAAAAUAUUUUUAGGUUUCAAAAGCACUUAAAGUGCUUUCUGCAAAAAGCACCAGUUAUGUGUUUUUUUCAAGAAGCGCUUUAAGUGCAUUUUUAGGAUUUACUUGCAUCUUUACUAAUUAUUGGUUCUAAAAAUAUUUUCACAAAAAGCGCUUUCAGUAAUUUCAAAAGCAUAUCCAAACGAGCUCGAAAACUUUGAAUUUUAACAAAAAUGACAAAAUAAAGGGUAAAGUGAAUAGCGCCAGGAUUGACUUUUUAGUGUAAAAAUAUGAUUUUUCGUUAAAAUAAACAGUAUCAGAAGUUUUUCGUAAAAAUGGUAUGCCUUUUCUUUCUUUGGAAGCCUUUUUGAAAGUGUUUUCCUAUUUGUGCACUUAUGUUAUAUGCUAACUUGAGGUUGUCUGUAGAUUCCCAGCAUUCAGCCACCGACAUCACAUAAUUCUCAGCAGUCGACACAACCAACUCAGCAACCAAGCACUCAGGCUGCUCCCUCGUUGCCUGGUCAAGUUGGUUUACAGGACCAAACAGGGCCAUCGCAGGUCCAAGCUCCUCCAAGAAAGCAAUACCAAAACCAACCGGCAAUGCCUAGUUCAUCAGCUGGUGCUCCAUCUAUAAAUGUGCAGUCUCAGCCUAUGCCUUCACGUCCCCUGCAGAACCCCCAGCAGCCCAAGGGACAUCUAAAUCCUCAAAUGAACCCGACUUUUCUUCCACAGUCCUCUCAACUCCCAAAUAUGCCCGCACAUCCUCUACAUUCUUCUUCACAGCUACCUUCGCUUCAUCAAACCCAAAUGUCUUCUGCUUCCGGGCAGUUACAACGUCAUUACAGACAUCUGGAGUUUCUCAUAUGCCGUUGCAACCACCAUUGCCUCCACAACCAAGACCACCUUAAAUGCCUAACUUCCAUCACCAGUAUCCACCACUGAUGGGGGCCAACAUGGGUUCAGAGUUCAACAAUCAAGCUGGAUCUUCCAUGCAAGUUGAUAGAGGAUCGUGGAUGUCUGGCCCACCAGAGAGUUCGACAGUGCCACUUCCAGGAGGCGGCCAGCCUCCUCACCCCCCACCGGUAAGAUAGCUGCUACGUCACACAUUUGACUUCAGCCGGAGCUUUUAUUUAUAGGUCGAGUUUCCGUAUCAAUCACCAUUUGACCUUUAUGCUCAUUGUGCAGUUGUCCCCUGAGAUGGAGAAGGUGCUGCAUCAGCAGGUCAUGACCCUCACACCAGAACAAAUUAACCUCCUGCCUCCAGAGCAAAAGAGUCCAGUGCUACUGCUACAGAAGAUAUUGCGCCAAUAAACCCUCGUGAAUUUUUCAAUUUUUCAGCCGGAAAGAGGGACAGCGCUUAGCUUCAAUGUUCAGCCGGAAAGAAUCUUUGGAACGCUGCCUAUUACUCGGUAAAUUUUCUUGUUUGAGAAUCUUAGAACUUGACUAUCUUUGGUGUUAAAUCUACAUCCAUUUGUUGUAUACCAAUGUUUUAGAAGGCUCGCCUCAGGGCGCGCCUAGGCGGCCUCUGAGGCUGGACGUGAGGGUUGCCGUCUCUGUUUUGAGGGAGUGGGCGGAAGGCGGUGGAAGGCGUCACCGGAGCCUCCUAGGAGGCGGAGGCGCACCUCAGGACGUCCAGGCGACUCUGUUUAGCUUUUUUUUUUUUUACUCUCAAACCCAAAUUUUGGGUAGGGUUUUAACGGCCUCAUACCUCUUCCUUGCACUAUCAUCUCUCUGCCUAUUUUUUCUGAUUUUUAUUUUUUUAUAUAAUGGAUGUACGUGUGAUGCCUGCAUGCAUUGUUAUAUGUGUGCCUAUUGUGCUUUUCAUCAUCUAUUUAAUAUAUAUAUAUAUAUAAUAUAAUAUAUGAAUAUAUAUGUGAGUGUAUAUUUAUAAUAUAUGCAUGUGUUCAGGAUGAUUAUUGAUUAAUAAUCUUCUUCUUUUAAUAUAAUAUAUGUGUACGCUCAGUGUAUAUAUUAAUAAAUUUAGGUCUCGUGAGGCUUCGGCCGGGCUAUCCCUCGGACGCCUCGCCCACGCCUCAUGGUUUUAAUACAUUGUUGUAUACACAAAUGCAUAUAUUAAAAAACGUCAACUACAAUGCUGUUGAUCAACGAAAUACAUGAGAAUUUUAUCUAUGCUAAAAGCCAUUCUGUUUUAAUGUAGAUGCGUGAACUACUCUCGGAGUUUCAAUUGAUAACAUUCUGUUCCAAUGUUUUGCUCCCUUGCCGCAAGCAAACUCAGUCCUCUCUGAACAAAACUCCGUUGAAUCCAUCUCAUGCACCGAGUCGAAGAUAAUCAUUCACACUUUUAGACAAUCCACCAGGCAGGAUAAUUAGCAUUGCAAGGCUAAUUCGUUACAAGCAUCCCAUGUUUUGCCAUUGUCAACAGUUCUUGUUCACUCUCGCAAAAUGAUCAGCGUUUCAAAAUGGGCGAAAGUUUUAAUCUUCGUUUUCCCAAUCAGAAUCUUCAUCAUUGUCGCUAACAUCUGAAUCCACGUAUGAAUCUUCAUCUUCAUCCUCAUCUUCGUCCUCGCUCUGCAGAUAAGAACCAAAAAUUUUACUCUCAUUGCUUGAUACGGGGAUGGUUAAGGAAAGACAAAAUCUGUCCCAGAGGUGGCAUGCUAAAAAUUUAUACUAAUACAAUCAAUCUGAUUGGAGCUCAUGACCACUAGAUAGUGAAUAGAUGACAAUGAGAAACAGGAUAUCUCACUUGGACUAAUUCCAACGCACGAUGAAUCUGCUCGGGAUCUCUCGAGCUCCAGGAACUCUCAUCUACAUCAUCUUCAGAAAUACCCUGUUCACAAUCAACAAAGCUAUGGUCAUGCGAGUGAACAAACGCCCAUACAAAACCGCAAAAAUGUAUCAUGUAUAUUAUUGGAGAAACCAAAGCUGUAUAGCAACAACCGGCCGUGCGAGAGGGGGCAUACGCUUGGAUCGCACAGUGAACAGAUGAAGAUGAACAAACAUAUAGUAAUCACUGAUUUUAUCAUUAGUGCUUCGGAUAUGUGUUGAAACGAGAAAUUAUAACUUACAACUUGAGAUUUCAUUUGCUCUAUGUUCUUCUCUAGUUCAGAUAUGUGCUGACUGAGAGCCUGCAUGGGACAUAAGAGAUCUAGUGUGAGGUGAAGGACAUCAACGAGAGCGAAAUAUCCAAAAAACUGGGAAAUAAAUUUUUUUUAGAAACCUCAUGGCGUUGCAUGGCCACUGAUCGUUUUAAUGCUUUAGCCUUAGUUAGAAGGUUCCUAGGCCUCAAGGUAAUGGGUCGCCGAUAAUUCUUUCCCCGAUAGUAAAUGAGAGCAUAUCCCUUUGGAACUCUUUCUAUUGCCACAAGUAUACCACCACUCUCAUAUUCCAAUAACCUAGCUGUAUCUUCAACAAAAGCAAGAGUCUUUUGCUUGCUUAUUAAUUUCACUAGUUCUCUGUGCUUCCAAUGCAAGUGCAUGUUUUCGACAACACCAUCAAAGACACCACGUAUGCCUGGUAUAAUAUGAAAUAAAGACCAUUAGUGUUUCAGCUAAAAAUUCUAUCUUCACCUAAAAAAUUAGAAGAUUUCUUACCAAGAGGCAAGUAUGCUUUCAUUCUCAAACCAACCCGGCGAAACAUAACCCGUUCCUCAUCAGUGAUUGUUUCCUGAUCAUAAUCGGGACCCGCAGGAAGCAUUAAUGAUUCUAUCUUGGAGAGGAGUUUCUCUGCUCUUAGCUUUUUGGCUUGGGCCUGCCAAUGAGUUCAGAAUAUCAAACUAAGGUACACAUAUGAAUCUACAUGUAUACUUUCUUCCGCAACUGAGUUAUGUCUAAUGAAUGUUAAAUGAUAUAUUUUGGAUAAAAACAUGUUACAAAAAAGGCACCACUCUAGUACCCGGGUCUUUAUAAUUGAGUCGAUUCAAUUCCAAAACUAUUGCAUUCACAAGGAGUGAGAACAAGACCUUCACAGGCUCGUCCACUAAAAGAAGGAUAGAGAAAAUACUUACAACACCUAGUUUAUGCUCGAUUCGUCUGACAAGCUUAGCAUUCUUAGCUCUUGAAUCUUCUUCAAUCAUCUUUUCCCGUUCUUCAGCAGAUAUUUCUCGUCCCCAACGAGCUUGAGCCUCAUAAAACUCAGCCAAAGUCCCUGCAAGUGCCUGUCCUUCCACUGCACCUGAAGAAGCUGCAUCUAUUGCUUUAAUCCGCAUUUUCUCUUCAACAUCUUGAACCUGUUUCGUUAGUUCCUGUCUUUCAGCCAGAGCAGCAGCCACACUUGUUGGAAGAAAGUCCUUUCCACGGUAAAUGACAAUGUAAUAUUUGUUUCUGAGCAGUAAAACGCCACCUGUUAAAUUCUGCAAAAUAGAAGGAACUUUAAAUCAGUACCUAUUGGUAUUUAUUCCGUAGGUAACAAUCAGAAGAAGAUUACAAAAAAAACCUUAAAACUAUUUGACGAAAGAAGAAAAUAAAAUGUGAUGAGUGCCUCUUCAACCAUAGAUUUGGUAGAAAAUGCAAGGUGGAGGCGCUUAAUGGCAAACUUAUUAACAAGUAAUAACAGAAUUACACAGGUUCCUUAAUUAGAAGGAUGGUGUUUCGCAUUUUUUCCUUGAAAAAAAAAUGCAGAAUAAGCUUGAGAAAGUUGUAACAGGAGAACUAAAAGUGCCACUAAUGGACAUGAACGAAAGGUAAAAUGUCACACGAAAAACACAAGGUUUGAUGGUAAUUAGGACAAGAGACAAUGUUGAACAGACCUUUAUCUCUUCAGCCAUCAACUUGUUGUUUGUAUUCUGGAUACCUCGUUUGACAGCAAUCUUAGCAACAGAGCUUUUCUCCCAAAGUUUAAUAAUAGCCAAUGCCAACCCUUGAUGGUUUCUAUUUCUCCCUUCAUUAAGAAAUUAAGAACAAAGAGUUAUGUCAAAUACUGACACGGUAAACUGAAGAAAGGUACUCAGAAGGAGAAUUAUACCAAGGGCAAAAUGACAAGGAAGCGACUUGGCAAGUUUCCGUAAGGUAGUCAUCUCUGCAUUAGUCAGCCGUGAUCGCAUCCCGGUAGGGAGAAGUCUGAAAGGUGUUUUGUAGCCAGGAAUUGUUUUGGGAAGCAAAUCAGCAUCAACAGGAAGUACUCCUGUACCCCACCACUCUUCAAAACGUGGACCUAAAUCAUCCAAUAGGCUGUGAAACUCAGCUUCCUCCUCCGUCAUGUUAUGAACACGCUCUGGAAUUUUCAAUGCUUGCUCAGUCUUAUCUGGACCUGAAGUUGCAUCAUUGCCACUUCUCAUCACCGAUGUUUCAGCUGAAGAAACAUCUGGGAUAAAAAGACCACCCCUUUCCCCAUCAACAGUUUGGGAUUGAGAAGGUCCUUUGUAGUUACUCCCUCGGUACACAACCAUGACACUUCCUGAUCGCCAUAAAACUAACCCUCCUGUUCGACGCUGACCAAUCACUACAAGCAGUCAGUUACAUUACGAAAGUAAAAUGCUUCUACAUGUUCAUUUCCAAACUCGACAUACAAUUUCAAGCUGCAUUCAGCAAGUAGUGUAAUUUACACUCAACACACAUAUAUAAAAAUGUAAAUUGGUCAUAACACCGCAAAAACUGAAAAUUCGAGAACGGAACAAACCUCAACAAUCUCGUGAGCCGUCUUCAUGUCCAAUGCCAGCACCUCAUGGAACUUGAGCCUCACCAGCUCCGUCUUCCUCCAUGUAUCGUGAAUCUUCUCUAGCACCGCCUGGGUGAUCCCGGCCUUGGGCACACUGAUCCUUUCCCUAAGCACCAUCCCCAUUCUCCUCAGCCGCUUCAGCUCCUCGUCCUCAAUAGUCAAUUCCGCCAAGGACGGAGCUUUCCCUCUCCUCUUCCUCAACCCCUUGACCUCCUCCUUGUCAUUCACCUCCUCCUCCUCCUCUUUCUCCCACGGCAAUGCCACCUCAUCAGCGCUCUUCUCCUCCUCCAAUACAUAAUCCGGCCGGACCCACUCCCGCUGCAACAAAUCCCCGAGCUUCUCCUCUCCGCUUGCCGCCGGCACUGAAUCCUGACCGUCCAAUCCGAUUCCAUCGUCUUCCUCCUCAUCGUCCGACCCUAACCUUAAGUUCCGCAACCGGAACACGAUUCUCUCAAUCGCGCUCUGGCCUUUAUUCUUGUCAAAGUACCGAGUCGAAUCCGCUUUGCCAUCUUGCUCUCGUCCCUGCGACUCGUUGACCUUCUCGUUGACUUUCUGGCGGGGUAAUUCGGCGGGAGAGCUGCGAUUGGGCCACUUGUUGAGCCAAGGAGCGGGCGAGGCGGGCCUGGAUUUGUGCUGCGGGGGUUUAGCGUUCGGAUUUCCGCCGUGCUCGGUGGUUCUGACGGAGGAGGAGAAUGUUUUGACGAUGCGAAAUGACGGUUUUGGGGCCAGGCUGAAAGAGGAGGGCGAGUGAGAGGUGAGUGGGAGUGAGUUCCUCAGUGGCAUUUCGGAAAUUUUCGCGGUUGUGAAGGCCAUUUGCGGUGAAGAUUGAAGUAAAUUGUGAGCUUACUGUGGCUGUUGACGGCGGUGCGCUGUCAUUGUCUGAUUGGUCGGAGCCUUGAAAGCGGUGGAGCGACGGGAGGUUGGAGACGAAGACUCUGUGUGUAGUUUUGGGGGAGACGAUAAGAUUUUCGUGGGAAGAUUUUCGGAUAUUUUUUCUUGUAUAUAUAUACUUAUGGAAUUUUAUCGGGGGCACAUCUGUAAUUUUGGUCGGGGAAGAGCCCUCCCUCUCUCAGGCCCUAAUUUGCAGAGGAUAAUUGAUUUUGGGAGUUUUUUUCUUAAAUUUUUAUUUUUUUAACAAACGAUAUUUUAUGAUAAGAGGUGGAGUAGUUUUUGAAUUUUAAUUCUUUUGAAAUGUAAGAAAAGUAAUUUUAAUUCUUUUUUCAAUUGUAAGAAAAGUUUCUUAUAGUGUAGGAAUUCUCGAGUAUAUCAAUGAAUGAUAUACAUUAUUGAUUUUAACGGUUAAAUUAAGAAUUAACUGAUCGAUAUGAACCAUUUAGCAAACAUAAUUGCAUAAUGGAAGCCAUCAUUUAGGUUAUGAUUGAUUUCAGAAACUAAGAAAAGUGUUAUUCGCACUUCAAAGAUAUCAUUUGCACCCCAAACUGAACGUGAUUGUGAAACAAAGAUUGAUUUUUUAGCCAGGUACGAUAUCCAUAAUCAGAUAUUCAAUAUGAUUUUCAGAAGAUCUGUUUGCGUUCAAGUAAAGAAUUCAAACCAAUUUAAGGGAUUCUUUGAUCAAUCUAGAGAUCUUUUCAAUUCCAUUCGUAACAAGAACAUGCUAUCUUCACCAACGAAACAAUAUAAACUAUAUACAACACGUUGUAUGUAUCUCCCCCGUCACGCGAUAAAUGCUAGCAUAAUGUAAUACAUGAAAGUCAAAAGGAGAAAUACUAGAAUAAUUUUAUUAUUAUUAUUAUAAUAAUUAAUAGGCCUUUGAAUUGCUGCAGAAAAAUAGAUCAAGCAUCAUUGACCAUAUACAAUUACGCAGCAUGAAGAUGGACGUGAACUGUUAGAACUCCAUGUACAUACUCUAUCCAUAAACGUAUUCCUGUUAAUCAACUGAAAUUAUCUACGCACCGGAAAAUAAAACCACGUAAAUUAAAGCUCAAAACCGAAAAAUGAACGGCUCAGAUUCCGGAAGAUCUUCUGCUACUGGAAGGAGAUGAGUUCAGGAUUUCCUGACCAAGCUCCUUUACCUUGUUAAGAAGUAGUACUUGCUCGGUCUCGAGCUGAACCAUGUACCCUUCUUGCGUAUCCUCUAGGGCUUCUAGCUCGCUCAUAGCCGUUGAGAGCCCUUCAAUAUUUCCGUCGUCGAUUAGAGACUGGAACUUCAUCAUCGUUUGUUUCAUCUGAACAAACUCAUGGUAAAUCGCGUGUCAGAAAAGAGUUGAACUUGAUUAAAAACAUUUUCCGUACGAACAAUGCUAACAACGUGGCACAGGAAGAAAAACUAGAAAUGAAAACGAAUCUUCUCACCUCACUGGAAAUUUUGUGUGCUUUGUUUAUGGAUGGUUCAGAAUCCAAACUUGCUCUUUUCUCCAACCCCGGGACUCUUCGAGUGACCAGAACAUGGAUCUCCCCUCUUAUUACAUUCUGAAGGGGGAUCCACUUGUCUGCCGUCUGGUUUGGAAGCAAUCUCUGAUAUUCCACGACGCAAUCACCUAUACUUGAUGACGGUAACAAGGCAUUGUGGUCUUUAACAUGCAAGAAAAGGGGGCUGCCAUCAUCGGGGAAUUCCAAGGUUUGAUGCCAUUGGGGAUUCAGAGUUUUGUACAUAACCUGGAGCGCAAGACGUCCAAGUAAUAAGAGAUCGAAAGCAAAGCAAUGGGAAAUAACAAAUGAGAGGAAAACGACAAUCACUACAAUAUUUGAACAUAAAUGUGACUGCUCAAACCUUUGUUUGUUUCUUCAAGUUCCCGUAUUGAACCUUCACAUAUGGAUCACUUGUGCCUCUGAUAUCAGCAGCAAUAAGGUCUUUUCCUUCGAUGAGAACAAGUUCAACCCAGCCAUUAUCUGAACCCUUUGCCGAACCCUGAAAUAUUCCAAGAAGGGGAAAGGAGGAACAAAACCGUAUUAAACAACACACAUUAAGAGCAGAAUGAUUCACGCGCAUAUGAAUGAACAUUAUUGAACAUACACAUGCAGAUGACCAAACAGACUGAAACAAGAUUUCGUACCCUUGACCCGUCAGAGCCUUCAACUCUGACUGCUUCUAUUUGAAGCCUUAAUUCUCCAGAAUUCACUUUUUCUAGGGGGAUCCACACAUCCCUGACUGACCCUUCGACCAGUCCCUCUAAAUUAACUCGUGCGCUGCCAAUGUUGUCAUCGCCAAAUGUGUCUUCAUUGAAGCAUUUUAUCAUCAGGUAUUCACCUCCUCCAAUCUCAUCAAAUUCAAACUUCUGAUUCCAGACGGGAUUCAAAGCAUGAGCAGUCCUUGUUCUCUGGAGAAUCUGGAAAGAAGGUUACGGCAACAUAUGGUGUUUAUAACGUUAGUUUCUGCAAUAUAUAGACUUUAAUUCACAAGUGAGAGGAAACUAUUAUGGGAGGAAAAAAAUCCUACCUUUCCAUAUUGCAGUUUAACAUAUGGAUCACACUUUCCAUAUCUGUCUUUUGAGACGAGAUCUUUUCCUUCCAUAACAGAUAUGUGAACUUUCCUUCCAGUUCUUGGUAGAAAAUUUGAUGACCCAAACAGUGAUCUUUGCGGGGCAAGACGAGAGUUGUCUACAUGUGAACCAUCAGAGAAUUGCCAUUCUUUUAGGACAAGCUUCACUGUCAACUACAUGAUGCAUUGAGAAAAAACAUUUACUGUUAAAAUUAAAUAAAAACAAGGGAUGUAAAUCAGUCAUAAAUCUUCAAAUGUGUUACCUCCCCUGAAUUGACCCCCUCAAAUGGAACAACCAAUUCAACUUCUUUUCCGCAAAACUCAGCAUGUUUUGCUAUCACGCCAGAAUGAGGUCCUAUUGCCCAGAAUAUCGUUGAAUCAUCCUCAACAUACUUCACCUGUCCACGGGGAAGAAAACUUCAAUUUAGUUGACACUCAACAAGUUGAUGAUAACUUCUGCGCAGAGAAUAUAUAUUAUCAAGUGUUUCUUGUCAAAAACAAUGAAAAAUAAUAAUAAUUUCUGUAUCGUAACUGUGACUAUCAUUUCAAAAAAUUAAGUUUUGCAUCCUAGAAAUAGUACCUUAAUUUCACAGCUUGCCAGAUAGUCAUACUUCACAGUGUUUGGCGUACACUCAUAAAGAUGAAAUCGAAGAUUUCCUGUUUCCUCAUGUAACACCAUAUUAAACUUAGAAUUCCAGCUAGGGUUUGAACCCAAACUCACACCUGUUUUUCUAGUUAACUCUUCAAGUUCAACUUCCACAAAUGUCCGCAGAUCUUUAUCAACAAACUGCUCAUCUGAACUUCUCUCGAACUGUUUUCUGGAGGGGCUUCCCUUCAAACCAUUCCUAGAAAGUUCACUUGCUGAAAUGACUGUCACGUAUAUAAUUCCUCCAACGGCCUUUUUCCUUAGGUUUACAGCUGGCAUAGUGUAACAACGUCGGCGAGGUUCAACCAUCGUCUUAACUAAGGUGUCAGUGAAAAUUUUAACCUGUAUAGCAAGCAAUAUAUUAUUUCUCGAAUUAUCAAGCUUUGCAUGAAAAUGUGGCUAGAUGUAUGGUUUUGACCAGCUAAAAUUUCAAUAUUAUCUAGUUGAGUGAUUAUUUACAGAGAGACUAUUAGCUCGUUUGGAUGUGCUUUUAAAAUGACUGAAGGCGCUUUUGGUGAACAUGUUUUAGAAUUAAUUCUUAGUAAAAAUGCAAGUAAAUCUUGGAAAAGCACUUAAAGUGCUUCCUGGAAGAAGCACAUAAUUGGGGCUUCUUGCAGAAAGCACUUUAAGUGCUUUUGGAAUCCAAAAACAUUUUCUCUAAAAACGCUUUUAGUCAUUUUAAAAGCACAUCCAAACGAGCUAUAUGAACAAUUCCAGAGUGAUAAGUCGGGUCAACUUAAGUUAAAGCAGUCUAAAUUAACUUUCAGGCUUAGGAGUCAAACCAGCCAAGAAGAAACGCCUGGAAGCUCUGUAGCAGGCAGUGACUGGCUUCCACCACUUCCAAAGGCAACUCCUAUCCUCACUUCCGGAGCUGACAGAAAUGAGUACAAAAUUGCUUUCCCAUUCAAGACCGGCAUCAGCAGAAGCUGCAAAAAAGGCAAUUUAAUGAAUAUACCGACCAAAAAUAUGAAAACCGCACAGCUUCUAAUUUCUUUUAAUAGAAACCUUUCAAGCUGAAGCAUAUGAGAAAUUGGAAAAGGAAACGACUUUACAUACAUCGCCUUUGAUGUGAAGACUAUUUAUAACAAUCCGUGCUGUCCCCAUCAAUGGCUUGGCAAGCUUUGCUUGCAACAAAAUACUCAUAUCAUUUGUAUCCCAGUCAAAACCCAAACGCAUAAGCCGCUGCCAAAAUUAACAUAGGCAGUGCACAUGAUGAUGUCAGGAAUUUAGUAGUCAUAUAUCAAUUGCUUCAAGACAACGCUGCCAAAGCAGCGUACGUACUAAAGUGUGAGAACUGUAAACAGAAGCCAAACCUGAUCACCUGAAGUUGACCAACGAGUCCCAUGAAGGCCCAAGCUAGGCGGGGAUGAACCUAGUGAAAACUCCAGCAAUUCAACUUUUUCCUACAUGAAAAAUGUUCACUCGUUAAUUACUCAUAAAAAACACCAUACAGUAAGAAUGAGUUCAAAUAUUCAAAUUAUUAUAAACAAGCAAAAGGGAUAGAUCGCUCACUAUAAGCCUUGAUUUUCUGUGCUUCAACCGUUUCUGCAUAAAAGAAACUUACACAAAUUAGCAUGAUCCAUUACCAAAACUUGUCUUCGUGAAUGUUUGUUUAAUGGACAAUCUUAGACAUCCUACCGAAAUCAGAAAAUGGCAACGAUAAUGAUCAGAACUUCUUUCAGCAUUACAAGCAUUCAGUUAGUAGAUUCAAAAGCAAUUUAGGAAAACCGACAGUCAGCGAGUAUCUGAAACUUUAAGACGACUGUUCUAGCAUUAUAGGAUGACAUAAUCAUAGAAUGCAAGUGGGAGACAUUAAGUUGUUAACCUCGUACAGAAAAAUUAAUAUAACCGGUUGAUACACAAGGACACAUUCUCACCUCAACAAUGGACGAAAACCUUAUUGAUAGCUUCGGGUUCAUAUAGUUGGGCCAUAUUUCCAUCACCAGCUUAUUCAGCCACUCGCAGUGUUCCAGUGGAGUUAUAGGCUACAUAAAUCACAAAGCGAAAAUUCAGCCUCGAUAAAGCUCAAAUGUCAUACAAACCAAAUAAAAUUCCGGAACAAAUAUGGUACCGAGGUGUUCAAUAUGACUCUCUUCCAUUGCUUGUUCAGGUCUUCAACAAGUAUCCGACGUUGAUAGUUCCCGUACUGCAAACAGAAUCAGUGACAGCUUAUGUUACAUCUCGGUAUGAUUUCGACAUUAGACCCUUAAAAAUUGUGAAAUGCAACAGAACAGGAACAGUUUCUAAAUCGAAACAUAAACGAAAACGAUUGGCACUCGGCAGUAGAUAAUCAUAACCAAUGAAUAAACCAAAACCAAAAAGUAAAUUAAACACCAUAUUCUCAACAACUGGUAACAAAAGUAAAACAGUUAAAAGUUCUCCAAGCCAAAAAUCACAUUGACCAAAUUGACCAAUUGAACAGUAAAUUCUUUUUCCACUAACACUUAUGUAACCUACAGAUAUGGAUCAUCCAGAGUCCGCACAGUUCGAAUCUCGCUCUCCGUAGUUUAGAUGAAUUUAGCGUAGACUAUUGCUCUCGAAUCGAAAAUAUUUCAAAUACAUAACACAAUUACACAAAGAAGCAAUUUUACCUGUACGGUUGCCCAAACAGCAACAGCAAGUGGGACCCAAUUGGAGAAGGAGAAAACCCAUCUCUCAAAAGCCCAGGCAAACAAAACCAGAGGUAUCAAAAAUGGCAGAAAAGGCUUCUCUGCCAUCACAUAGUUGAAGAACUCCACUGCAUCCUCAAAGCUCAACCUUCUCCCUUUCCUUCUAAUCAUCUGAGCAGGCAUCUAAAUAAACCAACUUUAACAAUUCACUUUUCCCCUAAAUAGAUACAAAUAUAUAUAUAUAAUAUAUAUGUAUAUGUAUAGAUAACAACUAGAAUCUCCAAAGUUUCAUGCUUUACUGAGGAACAAAAAAUACCCAGAAAUAAAAACAAAUUCUUAGGUAUAAGGUGUGGGAACUGGGGUUUUUGGAAUUUAGUUUGUGGGAAAAUGUGAGGAAUAUUUAUGCGAUACUUUGCCGGUUGAAGAAGCUUCAGACGGUGAAAUAAUCUGACAGAGAAAUCAGAAGCAGUUGGCUGCGUGGUUUACCAUUUUUAGAGAGAGAAACACGAGAGAAGAAAAGUCAAGCUAAAGAGAGAGACGGGGAGGAGGAGAAAAGAUAAAUAAAAUCCCCAAGUCUUUUGUUAACUACUACGAAAAGUGCUUCAACUUAAGCGCUUAUUUAUGGGGUGGGCCACACUGGAACCCUUGUUAUGGUAUUCGGCCUUUGAUGGUGGAGGAAUCGUGUGCUCUUCGAUGGAAUUCAUCCGACGGCUGAGGAUCGUCUGUGGGCGUAUGCCGUGUGACCUCAUUUGAAGAGCGGGUAUGUUUUGACCGGUGACUAUGUACAUGUCAGAACUUGUUGGCGGUUGCCUAUUGAACGUUGAAGCUGGACCAGUCCCGCUAACUACUGACUAGCUUUGGAAGGACAUUUUUGUCUUUUUAAUGUAAAAUUGUUUUUGUAUAACUGUCACACAAAAUAAUUAAUUUACUUGUUUUAUAGACUUAGCCUUUUUUUUUUUGAAUCAGGAUCCUCUUUGUGAGAAUCUUGGAGAUGCUCAAAUCACAUCCAUUCAUUAUACAUCGUGCGGCCAGUUUUCGUCAGAUACUGUUCAUAUUUAAUUUUAGAUAAAAAGAUUUACAAUGAUUUCUGGUUGCACGAUAUACGAUGAACAUAUGUAAUUGGAGAAUUUCCGAGAUCCUCACAAAGAGGAUCUGAAAAAGAUCAUCAUUCUUUUUAUCAUGAAGUAUUAUUGGCACUCCAAAAAUCUCAUUCUACACCCCUUGCAAAUGUAUUUUUUUUUCUAAAUAUAGAAUGUUUGGAGUGUAGAAUUAGAAUUAUGGAGUGCCAAUAACAAUUCCCUUUUUCUUUGUUUUUUAGUGAUAGUUGUAUUGCAAAACCUGCGCUUUAUACAUAAUUAGCUCUGACAGACUAUUUUAUGUAUCACAUAACAUGAUAGCACACGUCACUAACACACCAAUAUGUGGUAGGGUAAAGGGAUCCUCUCUGGAUCCCUUCCAUCAAAUCCAUCCAAUCCACCAAUCUGGGCCCUUGAAAUUUGAUCAAACGGCUAAAGUUAUUAUAACUUUUAAAUGGGCUUCCUGUUUGUAGUCAUUAGAUCAAAUUUCAAAGGUCCGGAUUGAUAGAUUUGAUAUAUUUGGUGGAAGGGAUCUGGAGAGGAUUCCUUUCCAUGUGGUAGUACCAAUUCAUACGCGUGAAUUAGUUUUGUCCGUACAUUCUAAAAUACUUGGAUCUAGAUUUGGUGUCUCUUUACAGUAGACAACAUGUCUCUCCACUUUUACUCACUAAGGUUUAUUUCGAACUUAGGACCAAGGAGUAUUGGAAUCUGUUUAUUGUGUAACCCAUUGACCAACACAAACCAUGGUCUCAUUUGGUCGUGGCUUUUUACAUGUUUAGUUUUUACACCGGUGAAGUACGCGAUGGUGAUUAGAGCACUUCCAGUGUAGGAAGAUUUCCUAGGCAAGAGGCAACUCAAUCCUCUUAAAUGUAUAGUAAGUGACUGCAAUGAAAAGUAACUGCCUAAGUGCAUCUUCACUCUUAAACUGAAUAGUCAAGGCAAUUCGUAUUAAAAUAUUAGUAUUUUUUAUUUUAUAAAAUAAUAAAAGAUAAUUUUAUUUUUAAUUUCAGAUAAUAAUAAAGAUUGGUUAAGAGUAUUUAAAAAUAUUUAAAAUGUAGUGUAAAGUGGAAGAAAUGUAUUUAUAGAAAAAAUAUAUAAUUUUUUAUAUUUUUAAUUAGUUUUUAAUUAUAUUUUUAAUAAUUCAAAUUGUCGCUAACGUCAUGAUAACAUCACAUAGGCAGGGCACUAAGCUAGAUAAUUAUUGUCUGACUUCUCCAUUGGGCUCAUAUUGGGUUCAAUUGCCCAAGUGGGCUAGAGUGUUUUGAGGGAGGGAGAAAGUGGAUUUGAUUGCAUAUUCCUAAGGCAAUAAGCAAUGGUAGAAUUGCUCUUAGGUAGAGUUGAAAUGUCUCUGUAAAUUUUUUCUGUCCUCGUAAAGAAUUGACUAUCAUGGAAAACCAUUUUGCCAUUUUAUAAAAAAAGAUAAACAAAAGAAAACAAAGGUGGAAAUUGUGACAACCCAUCCCGAAAUAUAUUUUAUCGAUGGUGUGAAAUGACUUAUAAACCCUUAAGCGUUGAAUUGUGUGUGUGUAAAUGGGCUAAGGUUUGGACCAAUUAGUUCUAUUCAUAAGUAAUUGGACCCAAUUAGAACUAAAGGAUUUAAGGUUUUGUUUGAUUGGCUGCAAACUGGACCACACACACACCCAAACUCCCGUUGACCCUCUAUCUCUCCUCCUUCUCGAAUUUUCCAUUCAUCCAUACAACCCGUACAGUCAUCAUUCAACCAACUUCAUCCUUCACGGAUCGACGUCAAGGAGGUGGUUUUCAUGUUCCUUGUGAGUCCAGGAGUCGAACCAUAGCUUUAGUUGGACGUGAGGACGUCGGGAUCUCGAGAUAUCAAGGAACUUCGACGAGGUGCACUAUACAUCUAUCAUGAUUGCAGUGGUUUCAUCAAGUUUUAGGACCCUAGGAAGUCUUAAAACUUCUUCACGAAGCUUUUAGAAGAAUUUUGGAAGGUUUUGGAUGUACGGAAGCUCGGGUUUGGCGAGUUGCAGAGGUGGCCGGAUUAUCGAAGUUUUCUCGACUAGAUUUAGUGGAUUUUAGGACCUAAAAGUGGUAAGGAUAUGUUCCUCUCAUCCUAAACUUCAUUUUGGUGCAAAUUUCAUGAAUUUUGGUUGAGAAAUGAAGAAGAUAUUGAAGUUAUAAGAUUUUCCAGAAACUGGCGAUCGCAGCGAUACCGGCACCGGACUUCGGUGAACCAAGGAAGUAGAAGGAGCAUAUUCCGUCAAUUUUGACGGAAUAUUCUUAACAACGUCAGUUAUAUAUAGUUGUAUAUGCUGAUUUUUAACGGAAUAUUCCCUAACGCUGUUAGGGAAUCCGUCAGUGUGCCAGGCACAUGUCUGCACAUGAGUCGCACGUCUGGCUAUGCAUUGGCCAGCGCGUGAGGGCGCAUGGGUGCUCGAAAAAUUUUUCUAAAACUAUGGGGAUGUUCGUGGGGUUGAGUAGACCAUGUUAGUAUAUUCAAACACCCCAAUUGAGUAAUGUAUAAGAUGUUAUUACCUAGUUUUGGUUAUGUUCUUUAAAAUAACGUUUAUAUAGUUGUUUCGCAUAUAGGUGAGACCUACCCUGAGGACGAGAGCAAUCAAGCAAGACUCGGGGGCUACGACCCUUCCACAUAUCAGUGAGUGGGCUUUUGGUUUUCAGUAUAUAUUUAUAUACUUGGUAUUUUUCCCAAAAAAUGUGUUUAAAUGAAAUUAUGUUUUGAAAUGCCAUGCAUAUUGAUUUAUGCUUAGACUAUGAAUUAGUAUAGUAAUUGCAUAUAUCUAUGUUCGAUGUUGUAUACGCUCAGGUAAGUACCAGGUGAGUUGUAGAUUGUUAUUGUGAAUUGAUGAUUAUGUGAGAUGUGUUGAGAACUCAUAAACAUGCACCUCGGUGUUAGUGCUCCCGCCCGUGGUUAGGGUACAAUCCUUCACGUGAUGUUCACCUCCCGCACCAUAUGCUCACUUUGGAUCCAAGUUAGGUGCACAGUCCUGUCGUACAUACCACUAUAGGUGGUUUCGACUCGUUGGUGACCUGCGAUUAAUCGCACAGUCUUCACGUGAUCGUAGCACUAUAGCGUAUUUAUUUACACCCAGUCCUGUUGUACAGACCACUUUAGGUGGUUCCAACUCGUGUGCAUGCAUACUUGUUGAGCUAUAGAUUCAGCCGUAUAGGCCACUUUAGGUGAAUCCGGCUGAUAUGUUAUUUCUCAUGAGUUAAUUCACCUGAGUUACUUAUUCAGUUAUUUUGAGAUAUUUGGCAUGGCAUACUUUUGAAUAUUACUAUUCUGAGCAUGGUUUUGAGAUGUGUGUGUGUGUAUAUAUAUAUAUAUUCUAUUUUAUAAGAAAUUAUACAGGUUUUAUGGCGAGGGGUUAGAACUUUUGAUAAAUUAAAUGGUUUUGAAAAACUUUGUUUUUGCCCACCCACACUUUCUGUUUUGCGCCCCUCCAGGUUUUAGGUAGGAGUGCUUGUUGGUGGCUUACGAGGAUUUGACGGAGAUUCUGACAGAUUGUCACAAAUGUAGGAUUUGGGUGUUGUAUAAUUAGUAUUCGUCAUGCUGGACUGCAUUUAGGCUACUUAUGCUUUGAUUGUGCAAUCACACUUAAUAUCACACUUGCACCUUAUCUCAUCUAGUGCUUUAGUUGGUUUAGUUUUUGUUUAUUCGUAUUUCUUAUAUCAAUAUUGCUUCCGCACUGUGCACAUGGUUACGUCACCCUCACGUGACGGCCAAUAUACUUCGAUCUAGGUUAGGGUGUGUCAAAAAAAUAUGGUUCCAAGUUUUCUUUUCAAUGUCCAAUAGAAUGUAAAAUAGACGUCGACAAUGUUGACACACCAGGAAUCAUGAAAAUGAUCGGUCUCACUAAUAUUAAUUGAUGGUGGUUGUUGGUGCAACUGAAAAAGACAAGCAAUCGCUUACACACCAUGUUUCUUUGCUAUGGUUGAAGGAUGAAGCUAUCAAAAUUGCUUUCAUUGUUAUCUUCAUUUUCCUUCAACAACAAUAUAUAUUGCUUUUCACCGAUAGUUAGAGCAUUGUGUUUCAUCCUCUACAUUUAAAUCCAAAUUCCUCUUUCUACUAAAUUUGUGUAUUUAUCCUAUUAUUUUUCCAAAAAUAAAAUGUCUUUUUUUUUUUUCGCUUCAAAAAAGUUUAUGGAAAGAUUUGCUAAUCUAACCACCAGCAAUAGGAUAAUACUCACAACCUCAAGCUAGAAGGAUUUACGCGUGAAACUUAACUACCAACUUUCACCAAUAUGAAUUUAUGUAGAAAUUUAAAGAUCGUGCAUUAAUGAGAACUUAUGGUUUGGGAGCAAACCACAAACACGUCCUUAUCAACUGAACCAACCCUCGUUGGCAAUAAAAUAUUAUUUUUUCAACUUAAAAAGUAAACAGUAAGUUGUUUUACAUUCCAAAAAGAGUAAUUUAGAAGUGUUUUUAAAAUAACUGAAAGCGUUUUUAGUAAAAAUAUUUUUGAAACCAAUCAUUAAUAAAAAUUCAAGUAGAUCUUGGAAAAACACUUUAAGUGCUUCAUAUAAGAAACACAUAUCAUGUACUUCUUUAAAAAAAAAACAUUUACAGUAUUUUUGGAACCUAAAAUCAAUUUCACUAAAAAUGUUCUUAGUUCUUUUAAAAGCACUCCCAAAUAAGAAUAGACUCCUUCUCCUCACUCCUUCGUAAUAAACUUUAUUUUUUAAUUUUUGGAUCAAAUACUAGAUUAGCUAAAGUGGUUGAGGAUGCAAUAAAAAUUAAAUAUAUAUAUAUAUAUAUAGAGAGAGAGAGAGAGAGAGAGGCUUGCCAUUACAGAUCAUGUUCCUAAAUAAUUAGGAUUUGGAUCCUUUCAUGAGCUUAAGGAGAUGAUCCUCCUGAUCAAGAUACUUGGAUAGUUGGAUUUUCAUCCAAUGGUUAUAAAUAGGAGGAUCAAUUUAAAGUUAUAAUAAUUAUAGUAGUUGGAUUUUCAUCUAACGGUCUACGUGUUUUGGUCAGGAGGAUCUCUUCCUUAAGCUCAGGAGAGGAUCCAAAUCCAAAUAAUUAAAGGGAGUUUUAACGAAAAACCCACGAUACUGUUCACUUUAACAAAAUACCACAUUUUUACACUAAAAAGUCAAACCUGCUACUAUUCACUUUACCCUUUAUUUUGUCCUUAUCAUUAAAACUCAAAAUUUUCAACCUCUUUUCGUUAGUUUUCCUAUAAUUAAACACCAAAAGACCAAGACUUUUCCCGUUUAACAGUUCUACAGAAGCACGUCGCAUAAAAAAUUAAAUAACAACGAUUAUAAUAAUAUAAACUUUUCAAGAAUAAUUUCUGCAAAGGAUACCCGACAACGACCCUAAUGUUUGUGUUCUAAUUAAAUUCAGAUCAAUCCAAUUCCAUCAGCGUAAUGACAUAAGAUAGGAGUAGGUCAGUGGUAUCCUUUUGCUUUCACACAAAUGUUCAAGUAAACAUUAUCAUCUGCUAGGAUUGCUAUUUAAUAAAUUAAUUAAUUACUCAUUAUUGUUGCAGUAUAAUCAUGCCCUUGGAAAGGAAGGAUUAUCAUUUUUUGAAAAAGAUGAGGAUUAGUUGUGAGACACACUUUACAUCGAAUUUCAAUGAUUCAAAUCGUCUAUUUUGUAAGUCUUGAUUCAUAGAUUAUCUUUGCAAAAAUUCCAUUCAACCCUAAACAUUUCUUCAUUUAAUUAUACGAUGAAAUUUCAAUGUUUCUUAUACAAUGUUCAUCAAUUUAUUUGAACUCAAUUAGAUACCUUAAAUAUUUUAGAUUUAGCUAAUAUGUUGCAAGGAUGACUUAUGAGGUGUAACUUGAAAAAUAGACGGUUCAGAUCGUUAAAAUUCGAUUGUGAUGUUGGUCUCACAACUAAUUUUCUUUUAAAAAAAAUAAAGAAUCUCUUCCCUUAAAAGUUUUGCAGCAAUAUAAUAGUAGUAUUCUCUCAACUAGUAAAUAAAAGUUUUAAUUUUGUGUUCAACUCACAAGAAUAACAAGUUUGAUAUACUCCGCUAUAUAUAAUUUAAUUUAAACCUCGCCCGCCUUAAACUAGAGCAUGUGACAUAUCUAAUUAAUUAAAGAAGAACAAGGGAAACUUCUUAUUCAUCAAUUAUCAUCAUGUACGAUUUAUAAUGAAAUAUUUCAUUGACUAUAAGACGCCACUAACAUAUUUUGCCUUUUUACUUUUAGAUAUUUUGGUGGUGUCACUGUCACGUUUAUCAUCCAUAGAUACGAAAAAAGAAAAAUAAAAAAAAUACAAUUAUUAAACUAAGCACUUAAAACGCAAGUACUAAAAUAAUCACUGCUAAUAGUCUUGGGGCAACUAAGUCAAUGCCAAGUCGGAAAAUCAUUCCAAAAACAUCAAUUAUUGUUAAGAAAGAAGACGUUUUAUCUUAAGUUCUUUGACAAUGAAAGAAGUAAUUCAACUUUUUAUAAGUCUAGUUUUUGCAAUGUAUCUUAAUUUUCUGAUAUGAAAUUCACUCUCGACGAGCUCUUUCAACAAUUUACAUGUAAAGUUAUUUGAAUUUAACACAUAAAAAACACUAUUGAACCGACGUGGAAGCGCGUAGACCAUAUAUCAACUAAAUGUAGAGGAAAUAUAUAUUGAAAUCUUAAAGAAAAGGAAGCAGAUCGAAUGAAGUUUGUUGGUGAGCGGAUCACAUAUGUAUUAAUCAUGCCAUGUUCUUGGAUUUCUUCCCGGCCGGCCGCGGCCCGGGGACUUUACAUCAACUAAAGUAUACAUACAGCUUUAUGGACCACAGCUUGGCACUCGAGCUUUCGCAUGCUGACAUGCAUAUUCCUUCUACACUUAAACUUGCUAAAUCACAUGAAGUACAACGACACCAACAAAUCAGUUUUUUAUCGAAAAAAAGAAAGGAACAAAUUAACUUUAAUUUCUAUCCAUGGCUUCUUUUUCUUUCUUUUUUUUCUUACAUCACUCGCUCGUCAACCUAGCUCAUUACUUCAUGUGCAUAUUGGAAGCAUUCAUCCAGUUGAUGCACACUUUUAGGGUGUGAAUACAAGUAUUGUAUAGUACAACUAUAAGGAUCAUUAUCUUAACAUGUUGGCUACAGUGCUAGCAAUUUUUGCGUCUAAUUUUAGCAUUUGGACUUUUUUACUUAUGUCGCUUUUUUACACACAAUGAUCGACGAAAAAUAGAAAAAAGCAUUAAAGGUCUUGCUUUUUGUGUAAAAAAAAUAAUAUGUGUCAUGUGAAGAAACGAAAAUGUUCAAAUACAAAGAAAGUUUAGUACAAAAGUUGCUAGUAUUUCUAUAUAUGUAAACUGUGUACAUGAAUUCUUUUAAAGGAAAACUAAUAAAAAUGGCUUGAAAACUUUGAGAUUUAAUGAUAAUGACAAAAUAAAGGGUAAAGUGAAUAGUAUCAGGUUUGACUUUUUAGUGUAAAAAUAUGGUUUUUCGUUAAAGUGAACAGUACCGUAGACUUUUCGUUAAAACUCCCUUCUUUUAAAGAUAAUGCACAGUGUCAAAGUGCACUCUGGCAUAUAUGAAUAUUUAUCUUAUCAUGUUGACCACCAUAUAAGUGGGCAAUACAUAUAUGUAAACUAAGAGAUCAUUUGAUAGUCAUUUCGUUUUCACAAUCUCUAAAAACAUGGACAUAAAAAAUCAAUAUAUAAUGUGAAUAAUGAAAAAGAGUAAUGCUACGUAGAUUUAAAUUAAAUUUGCAACCAUAUGAUGUGUCACCAAUAAGAAAUAAGCACAUUAAUUAACACUUAAGUAAUAGUCUAAUAAUCAAUAACAACGUCAUAUGAUUUACAAAAUUUAAUCUAAAAGUUAGUCUCCCUAACAUUACAAAAAUAAAAAUAAAAAUAAAUUUUAUCGGUUAAUAUAUAGCACUAUGCAUAUGAUGAAUAUUCCAUUCUCCAUUAACGUGUAAAGGCUGCAUAUAUACCAGCAUAAACCGACGAGUUAAGGACCAUCUCAACUCAAGAGAGCAUAGAAUAUAAUUAGGAUAUAUAUGGUGGUUGUAAACCCACUUUUGCAUCUUGGAUGGUCGGAAUGUUCUCCAAUCUUAGAGAUGUGAGUUAAAAAUCUCACAGCCUAUCGCUAACUCCGGCCCUUUUAAUUCAAGGCCUUAGGGUUUUCGGCAUGCGCGAUUGACUUCAGUAAAACUCAUACGAAUCUGAUACCAAAAGAUGUAAUCUACAAAGGAUUGAGUUUAACAAAUAUCAAAUAACAUGACUUAUUUAGUCAAGGAAGUAGUAGUCGAUAUUUGCAAACUAAAACCUUUAUAAUAUUACGUAGCAAUGUGAGUUUCGUGCUGAAUAACUUUUCGGCAUUAAGAACUACAUAUAGUGUGUUGUUGCACAAAACCAAAGGGGUUUUGGAACAACGUAAAUCCGAUCGUGAAUCUACAAGAAAGUAAAAAACACAAGAUGUAUCAUGGUUCACCCCAAUGUUUGGGCUACGUCCACACUGAUGUUGAUAUUGUUUCACUCUGAAUGGUGAAUAUAUAAUAAGGCUAGAGGUAGUGUGCUCUCUAGCCUAUUUUCUGUGGCCUAAGCCUUGCCCUCAAUCUUGACCUCUCCCAAUGAGGAGAGUGAGGAGUCAUUUUAUAGAAUAAGGGCUCCUCACUUAUUAUAUAUUUGCUCCUUCAUUUAUUACAUAAUUACAUUUGAGACCCCCUAGUAUUUAUACGAGAUCUAAAUACGGAGGCCCUAAGUAUGGUACAAACAGUAGUCCCCCAAGUCUUCAGUCAAGAGAGUCUUUUGGCCGGAGACUUGAAAUUCAGUCCAUGUGUGGGCCGAAGUAACUAGAUGUCGUCUAUAACGGAUACUCGAUAUGAGGCGGUACCCAAUCUGAAAUUAUGCUCAACUAGAAGUAGCACAUGUUGUGAUGCUGCUCUGCUUGUGGUUUAUGUUGCUUUGGUUGGCUCGGCUUGUGGCGUUGAAGGUGAGGGAGUCCAUUUUAUAGAAUAAAUGAUCGCUCCUCAAUACAUAAAUGAUGGGCUAGAGUUGAUGCUCGCGGCGAUGCUCUCUAAUAAUGGUGAGGGAGUCCCUUUUAUAGAAUAAGGGCUCGCUCAUCAAAACAUACGUGAUGGGUUAGAGUUGAUGCUCGCGGCGAGGCGGUUGCUCAGCGGGCGGCGAUGUUCUCUAAUGAUGGUGAGGGAGUCCCUUUUAUAGAAUAAUGACUUAUUCCUCAGUACAUAAGUAAUGGGAUAAGUCCCCCAAGUAUUUUUCAUGAUGCCCAGUUGCAGAAGCCCAAUAUAUGGUACAUAGUGUAGUCCCCCAAGUCUUCAGUCAAUAGAGUAUGUUGGCUGAAGACUUCAAAUUGAAUCCAUGUAUGAGCCGAAGUGGCGGUUGUUCGGAGGCAGUAUAUGUAUACCCUGCAUUGAAGCUUUGUAGGUGAAGCUUUGCAAGUGAAGCUUUAAAGCUGGAGCUUUUGUAAAUGAAUCUUUUGAAACUGGAACUCUCGAAGCUGGAGCUAUGUAAAUGAAGUUUUCGAAGUUGAUUGACAUGACUGAUGCUUAUAAAUGUUUAUGUUGAUUGACAUGAGUGAUGCUCAUGGAUGUUGACAUGAGUGAUGGUCAUGAAUGUUUAUGUAGGAUUGUCAUGAGUGAUGCUCAUGAAUGUUUAUGUAUGAUUGACAUGAAUGAUGCUCAUGUAUAAUUUUGGAGUAUUUGACGUACUUUUGAUCACCUGGUUGGUGAUAGUAGCGGGCAAGCUGCCGAAUAAUUUUGGAGUACUGGACGUACUUUUAAUCACUUAGUGGGUGAUAAUAGCGGUAGGCUGCUGAAUAAUUUUGGAGUACUGGACGUACUUUUGAUCACCUGGUUGGUGAUAGUAGUGGUAAGCUGCCGAAUAAUUUUGGAGUACUGGACGUACUUUUGAUCACCUAGUGGGUGAUAAUAGCAGCAGGCUGCCGAAUAAUUUUGGAGUAUUGGACGUACUUUUUUUUUUUUUUUGUCUUCUUUACACAUCAGUAUAACUAUACAAUAAUUGCUCCAGUUUGCAGAAGACAACUUAAAAAUAUUCAUUAAUGACAGUGGGUAUAGGUGUGCCAUGCUUUCCACUUCCUCGGCUUUUCUCUAUCUCCAGACAUCUUUUCCUUUUUCAUUAUUUUCCUCCCUUUAUUCCUUGCUUUUGCCUUUUACUUUUACUUUGUUUUUCUGCUUUGCUUUUGCUUUCCUUGAGGGGGACCCAUAAGGGACUGGAGAUGAUGAUGAUAGGGGUGAAGAUGACUAGGCCGAGGACGAUGGCGGUAACGAUAAGAUUAACAUAGGAUGAUGAUAUGCUCUUUAAUUACUUGGCUACACCUGCAUUGCACAGCUUCUUUCUUCGAGCAAGUGGGUGUCCAUAGUAGUUUACCACCUGCAUAUUAUUCCCUCUGCCGCCUUACAAAAUGGGCUUGCUGAUUAACAAAUGUUUGUUGGGAGAGCCAAAACAGCCGUACAAAUUAGUGUUGAGAUUGACCACCGAGAUGUCGGUGGUGAAGAAGGUAUAUGGAUCGUUCGGGUAAAGCUUGAUCUUGUGUGGCUACAAGUUCUCCCUCAGGCCAUACAAAACGGCGUCUUUCGGCAAACUGGUGGAAACCUCGAGGUACGGGUCCUUAAACUCCAAUUCGCCAUAUGGGUCUUUCGAUUCAGAGCUUGAAUUGAAGAGGACCUACCUGUCGGACUUCCCCUUGAUGGCGAACCCAAAUAGGUCGAAGAUGUAGCUGGAGAUGAGCUUAGAGCCGGAGUACCCUAAGUGCUGGAUGGGGUUCUUUGUUUUCCCUGACGGCGUGAUGAUUUGUUUCAGCGACGGCGGCUGCUCUAUAGGGAUGAGGUUGUACGUAACCCCCACCUCUAUUUCUGCACGUCAGUUAUGUGGACCUUCAACCAGUCUUGCGUCUCGUGCCUGACAUAUAGCUAUAGAAGUGAGAUAUCGGGUCGUAGGUUUUGGACUCCUGUUUAAGCUGGAGGAGACCCAGAAGGCGUUGAACUCGUCAAGGCAAAUGAAGCCAUCAUUGUCGGUGUCGAGAUCGACCUUAACACGCUUGAGCUUGUCGUUUGAGACGUUGAAGCCGAGGGCCUUGAGGUCGUUGCCGAGCUCGUUGACGGAGAUCUUGCCAUCGCCGCUGGCGUCGAAGCUUUUGAAGACUUUCAGGACCUCGUCGGUGACUACGGGUUUGGGGCCUGUCGAGGUUAGGGCUCCGCUGGUUGCCAUGGUUGUUGGAAAUUUCUUGUGUAUUUUUUUCUAUUUCUCUUCCUUAUUCUUCAAGGGAUUCGAGUGAAAGUUUUAAACUUUCAAAUGGGUUUUCUGAAAUCUGAAAUGGGUUUUGCUUAAAAUUGAAGAGAAAUGAUUGGAGUGGGAGUGAGAGAUGUGGUGGGUUUAUAGUUAAGAGAGUAGAGAGAGAGUGAGAGACGAGGUGGCUCCGUGGGUUUUCUGGGAAAGCUUUGGGUUCUUGGUUUCUGCAGAUUCAUGACGGAGGUGAAAAAUUGAGAGAGAACCGACAUGGGUUUUCGUGUCGAUUCCCACAGACGGCGCCAAAUGUUGAUGCACAAAACCGGAGGGAUCUUGGAACAACGUAAAUCUAAUCGUGAAUAUGUAAGAAAGUAAAGAACACAAGAUGUAUCGUGGUUCACCCUAAUGUUUGGGCUACGUCCACACUGAUGUUGAUAUUGUUUCACUCUGAAUUGUGAAUAUACAAGAAGGCUAGAUGCAGUGUGCUCUCUAGCCUAUUUUCUCUCUAGCCCAUUUUCUGUGGCCUAAGCCUUGCCCUCAAUCUUGGCAUCUCCCAAUGAAGAGAGUGAGGAGUCCUUAUAUAGAAUAAGGGCUCCUCAUUUAUUACAUAUUUACCCCUUCAUUUAUUACAUAAUUACAUUUGAAUCAUCCGAGUAUUUAUACGAGAUCUAAAUACGGAGGCUCUAAGUAUGGUACAAACAUAAUGCAUUCCGUGUAUCUUGAGAAGAGUGGGAGAUGAGAGAUUUGAAUGCAUGGAAAGCGUGUAGAUGGUUUAGAGAAGCAUGCAAUUGCAACUCAUAGAGAACUGCUAAGACGACAAUAUCCUAGCUGCCUAGAAAUGUAAGUACAAAAAUAAUCAAACUGCUUCUCCGAUUAGCCCUCAAAUUCCACCACCGCACCCCCAUCCCCAUACAAAUCUCAACGGUCAGUCCACCUGGCACAUCCCUACUGGCCCAGUUCGACAAUUUCGGAACCACCACCACACUCCUAUAUCCACAAUCCAAUUAAAAACCCCCGUACGUGGCACAAUACUACUCGAAAAGCCCACCCAUCCAAUCGUAGGAACGCCUGCACUCGAUCAGUCAUCCCUAAUACAUUCCCCAUAUUGCACACCUUCAAAUUUGAAAAUUUUCUUUGUUAUCUACAUGCACAUGCACUGAGUAUUGAUUUUUUAAAACCGUUAGAUCAAAUUCAACGAUCAUCGGUACAUGUAGUUCUCAAGAAACAUGUACAUUUAAAUUUAAUACCCUCUAAAUUUGUUUCAACAAAUCCCAUGCAAAUAGGAGCAAAACUUGUCACACCUACUUAUUUCCACCUCUAUAUAUAUUUCCCCUUCAUCUAAUUUCUUGUACUUUUGAGAGGCCCUUGCGCGCUUCCCUGCGCCCAAACAAAACUGUCCCCACAAGUGCCAAUAUUUACAAUGAGCCCACAUGCAAACGCAAACAAAAGGGACGUGAUCCGCACCAACAAUAAUCAUGGGACGUCGUUUUACCCUCCGCCCUUGAAGAUCAACAGGGACUCCCAUUUCAUCAAGAAGUCCUCGUCCUCGUCUUCGGCCUCGCCGUCGUCGUCAGCUUCGUCGUCCACAUCUUUCCUCGUGAACGCUGCGGCUGGGGUGAUCAAACCGCCCCAGCAACAGCGCCACCCGGUGAUUAUCUACACGCAUUCGCCCAAGGUCAUCCACACGCACCCGAGGGAUUUCAUGGCGUUGGUGCAGAAGCUCACGGGGCUAUCGCGCUUUGAGGAUGACAGGCGAGAGCCUCGUCCGCAGCCGCCGCCUCCUUCAGCAAAACGCGAGGUUAAUGUGGAGAGUUUGUUGGAGGAGGAGAUCAUGAAUAAUAAUAGGAUCACCGGAAAGGUUAUGAUGAGGAACGAGGACAACGAUUCGUCGUCGGUUAUUACGACGGAGGAGAAUUGUAGCAGCAAAAACAUUAAUAAUAAUAAUAACAACAACAAUAGCAAUAAUAAUGUAGGGAGCAUCGUAGGUGUAGGAGGAGGAGGAGGAGGAGGGGAUGGUCAGGUGAAUUCCUGCUUCGUGCCGCCUAAUCCUUACCUCGGAAACAUUCCGGUUUUUACGCCAAACGCCACCGAUUUCUUGUGCUCCAAUUCCAUCAGCCACCUCUUCACAGCAAUAUGACGAUCAUCCUGCAUGGUGAUCAUGAUUCAUGAUCAUGCGGCGGAGGAGGAGGAGUACUACUUUGUGAUGGAAUGGCCCUGCCUACGCGACUAAAUUGAAGGCCUGCCUACGUGACUAAAUUGAAGGGAAGGAUUCGCCGUUUUUGUUAGAAUUAAUGUUUGAUUAUUUGUUGGUUUUUGUUUUUCAUCGAUUUUUUGGAGUUAAUGUGGAUGCCUGCAAGCUGCCAAUAAAAGUUCUAAUUUUCUGAGGUAGAACUUUUUUUCAAUUCUUUUUGUCAAUCAAAUCGUUGUAAUCUGAUAAUUAACUCAUGUUUCUGACGGCUUCUUGUUUAUCAAAUCGAAAUGGAUGGAUGGAUGGAGGAGGAAAAAGAUAAAACGAGCCAUAUUGACUAGAACAGAUGUGCUACUUUAUGAAUCCUAAUUAAAAUUUUAUCCCUUAAAAUUUAGAUUAAAUUAACGUAGCAGGUGCCCACCCUCAUGCACCCUCUUCUGGAAAAAUGAAAAUUUAUGGACUUUAAUCGAUCCAAAAAUGGCAGCAGGAAGCAGCCAUCCUCUGUUAGAUCAUUUUAACAGUUGCAGAUUGCAGAAGCAGCUUUACGAUUUAUCCUGGCGGACUGCGCCGGAGAAGAAGCAGUUAAAAAAUUAAGUAUUAAUUGGACAAACAAACCUUUUUAUUUAUUUAUUUUCUUUCUUUUUUCCUUAAAUUUCAUACGAGGAGCUUAUUUCGACUUCCUCGUUAAGAUAUACACACACACUUUCUCUCUAUGUAGUACAGAAAAACGUUACCUGGACAUAUAUUAUACAUUUCACAAAUAGUUACAUCAUCAUUUCUUCUUCUUCUCUUCCUUUUCUCUUUCAAGAAUAACGGGCGCCGCUGGUAUGCUGAACCACCACUCUCGCAAUCUUCUCAUCCAUCUCUCCGUGCUCGAUCUCCUCAUCGGCGAAUAACAUGUAAAAGUCUCAAAAAAGAUAUAUAGAACAAUAUACUUGACGGGCAUGAAAGCCAGAGCCAAAGCCAUAACUAGAAGAGCUAUCGCAAAUCUUUCGCUCGCCUGAUCAUCAUUACACACAAUCAUUAUCCACGGUCAAUGUGCUAAAAGUAUAUAAAUUAACUGAAGUAGAAAGGUGGAGGAACGAGCAAGGAAUAAGAGAGCGGAACCUGAGGAAAAAGGGACAGCAACAAGGCACGUAGCUUGAGAAGAACAACGUUCCCAUCCUGGAUGAUCUCUUCAGCUUGAGAUAUGGCAUUCUGAACAGCCAAAAGCUGCUCCAUCGUAUUCAUCGCUGGAGGUGCUAACACCUUAACCUCGUGAGUGGACUUUCCUUGGCUAAAAUAUUGAGUGAGAACCAUGAAGACCGCCAUAAAGACGAGCAUCAAUGCAAAGGCAUAGCUCAGCCAUCCCCUGAAAAGUGCACGUGUGUCAGUCUACAGACAAAAUUCCUACCGGUUUUAUGUGUGGAAAGAAACACUAGAGUAUCGAGACCAUGAGAAAUCCCAUUGAACUGUAUUUUUUUCUCUAGCUACCCCCGUGUUCUCAUUUAGGCAGUUUCCAAAAAAUUUAGUACCUACGAAUUUUCACUUGGAGGGCUUGUUUCUGUCUCUGAAAACCAUGUUACAUUGAGUCAGCAUCAAAGUUUGACUCUGUUAUAAUGUGCGAUAAUCAUGCUUUUUAAAUAUUCAUUUUUUCCCACUCCCCCUACGUCUAAAUUAAAGACCAACCAGUAAAGGAAGAAAAUGAAAUUUCAAGCAGUUUACCUGCAAAUGAUGUAAGUGAAAACACAACAGAAAAGCAAAGACUUCAACGGAUCCUCCCAAAAUGCCAAAGAAAGCAGGCACUUCCCUAAUUCCGUCAUUGGAAAGAGUAACUCCUGCAAUUACUCAACAAAUUUAGACGACGUUGCCAGAAAAUGGAGUUUAACUCAUAAGAUAUGUAAGAGAAUAUAGGCUAAAUAAAACCUUAAAUAACAUUACAUUAUAACCAAAUACCUUCAUCACUGCAAAAUUUGUAUCGAUCCCUUCCACUUUGACUCCAUCUACUGUUGCUUGUGCUAGAGCCAUUUUUUCAUAGUUGUUUUUAGAUUCCUUAACUGCUCUUUCCAGCAAAGUAACUUCUCCCACAGUUAUCUCCCCCACGGCAAGCCCAGCCUCAACAGAAUUAUUAGAACUUGUUCCAAAUGCAAAUCCCAAGUUAGAGAUCAUAUCCAAGGCUGAGAUUGAAUACAUUCCAUCUCCUGACUUAGAAUUGUUAGACCCAUCUAAUUUUUUAAAAGUUGACAAAUCUGCCAUGGUUUCAAGUAUCAAGUCUCCACCUGGUAGUUGAUCACAAAGAUUGAACAUUAGAAGACCCUCAUAGCAUAAAUCAGUUUGAGAGAUAAUUUCUUGAAUUGCUUGUAGUCGCAGAAUUCCAAGCACUGCCUUUGAAAGUGCUUCAUCCUUUUUUAUCCCCUUGAUCUGGUAUUUAUUUAUAAAUCGAUGAACGUAUAAAAUCUCCCGUAUGAUUGCUAGCCAGUAAUCACGACGUGUAUGCCCCUUCAGCUCCGGAAACUCUAUUAUAGCUGGUUCUGAUCUACAGAAAAGACACUACUGAAAGUUGAUAAUCAAGUCCUAAGAAGACGACUUUCUUUAAUAGCUACAUAGCAGAACAAGUGUAGAGACCAAAAGCACCAAAAAUAAAAGGUAAUGCUUAACUUACAAUGAAUUUGAUUUAUAAAAGACUGCCUUGUCAAACAGUCUAGUACCCCAUGGGCCAGUCAACUCAGCUUUCACAAGCUGUUUUAAGUCAUCUGAUAGAUCAUAUCGUUUUGCCUUGUCAUAAGAUACAACACGCAGGGCCUCGAAGUAAAGUGCAUGGUCUGUCAGAAUUAACCUUCCUGCUUACAACACAAUUAAUUUCGCAUUAAUAAUCUUCAUGUGCAGUAAAUCCAUAAUAAGAACUGACAAGGACGUGAGCCAACAAAGAUAUUUGAAUUGUUUAACUAUCCAUUGACGUACCAGGCCAUGUAGAAAUUCCUACAUGCUCGAGAACCGGUUGGGUAGUGACUGUUCCAUCCACUUCCAGAAUCUUCUCUCUUUUUGAUGAUCGCAUGGCAGAAAGAAGUGAUGACUCUGAUUGGCUUUUCAUUUUUCUUAUUGAUCUGUACGAGAAAAAUUUCAAAAUCGUAGGACUAGUUAUGAGUGUCUGAUACGCAGUACAAGAAAUAUGCUUCCAGAAAUUCCAUAAAUUUGAACUUUGAAAUUUAUGAAAAGAAAAUGCAAGUUUGAAGGGGAGAGAGGAAGAAAAUGCAAACUCAAUAGGAGAGAAUGUACCUUUCUAGUCCACUUAGGUACUUGUCAUAUGUGGACAACUGAAGUCUCCCAUUGCUAGAAGAUGCAAGCACCUCAAAAAGAUUUUCACUGAUAAUCACAUUUGCAAUAAUAGGAACUGCUGGAGCUAUUCUACAGAAAGCGUCUAACCCAACGGAUAAAUCCUCAUCUAACUGCACAAAAAACGAGGACAUGUUGACAUUAAUAGAAGCAUUACAGUGCAAAGAAUCGUUUGAACGCCAAACUAUAACUUACACAUAGACAAAACAGGUCCGAUAAAAAAAAAUAUUUAACAUAAGAUUAGAGAUUGUAUGCUGUAUGUACAGUACUGAUAGGAAUAUCUGAGAAUCUACAACAUAAGAAAUAAGCUUCUAAGGAAAAAGAAAAAACAAAAUUUACAUUUCGUAAAGGUUGGCUAGAAACAGCCGGAGCCUCCCAAGCUAUCAUCAUGUCAUAUGUCAAGCGUCGAAACUUUUUAUCAGCCAGAUGACCUGUUACUUGAGUGGACAGAGCAAGUGCUCGGAAACAGCAGUAUUCCAAAAAGUUCCUAGCAUAACACGAUGGAUGCUUUAUAGAUUCAGAAGCCUCAGAAUUGAAGCCUUCACGAAGCUCAGUUGUAGGAACACCAAGGAUUCUGCAUCAUUUGUUUGUUAUCAUUAGAAAAUAGGAAACUAAUGAAAAAUGCUUGAAAAUUUUGAGUUUUAAUCGAAAUGAUAAAAAUGUAUCCUAAGUGAAUAGUACCAUGACUGACUUUUAAAGUAAAAAUGUCUUUUUCGUUAAAAGUGAAUAGCACCAGAAAAUCACUUCUCGAUACUAGUUACCACAUUUUGUUUGUGAUUCAUAUGAAGUUCCCAACAACAAAAGAAUAAUUUCCAAAGGAGCGAAAAACAUAAGUUGCACAUAUUUCAUCCAGUUCUACUGUGAUAAUAUAACAGUUGACAGUAUCAGGUGAACAGCUGAAGACUUACUUUGAACAUCUUCGGACAACUAUGUUUGCAAUUGGAGAUAGCUCUGGUACCCAAUUCGUCUGGGCAGAAGGGGAUUUUUCCAUAUCCUCCAAUUCUUCAUCAUAAGGGCUACGAUUUCCAAGCAACCAUUUGAAGGAUCCAUCUCUAACAAAAUUCUCGAGCAUAUUUGCCACAGCCAUCCCUAGUUUUUGCUCUUUCAAUGUGUUAUGAUUUUACUUAUCAUAAUUCAGAAACUACAAGAAGCAAAUUUUAGUCAAUUAAGUUUACUCUUUCAAUCUGUUAAGAUUUCAGCAAUCAUAAGUUCAUAGCAAAAUUAAGAAACUUAAACAACUGCAACACCAGCAAGUUCACAAAAACUACCAGAUCAAAAAAUCACUUGCAAUCCGAAAACCCAACACCCAAAUUCUACCAACAACAUCAUCAAUCUCUUCAACCUGCUACAAACCAAUUCUAAAUUACUCACCACAAUACCAAAAUUAAUCAAACCUAAUUCUCAAAUCCCACUAACAAACUAAACCCAGCAACUAAUAACACCCAAAAGCAACACAACUUGCCACAAAAUGCACAUUCAAGACCGCCGCUUUCUCAGCAAUCUCAGCUUUUGCCGAUGAAAUUCUUCAGAUUUCUGCAACAUUUCGCAAAACCCACCUCAGAUUACACGCUCCGAACCAAAAUCUACGAACCCACAUCACCAGUUUGCGAAUUAAUUGAAGCAAAAGAAGAAUUGGUCCGAGCAGCCACGUAUGAAGGUGUGGAAGAUCAUAAAUGUGUCGUGGUAUGGAGGUUUAUUGUAUUAUUCUAAGAGAAACUGAGAUUGUUAGAUAAGUACAGAAUUCGCGGCAACUGUGACAAAAGAGUUUUCGUCAUCCAAAAUACCGCCCCCCCGGGCUAGUAGCAGCAGGGUUGUGCUUCGCUCAAGGGUUUAAAUAUCGGUAAUAUCGGAAAUAUCGGUAGUCCGAAAACACGGAAAUAUCGAUGGAAAUAUCGGUAUAAUAUCGAUAUCGAUAAAAAUUACAUGGAAACCACGGAAAUUGUAAGAAAAACUUGGAAAUUUUUAUUGAAACUUUGCAGGAUGUUUAUUUAGUCAAUUAUCUAUUAAUUUAUCACAAAAAAUUGGAAGGAAAUGCAUUGCAUGAUGAAUUUAACAUUAUCAAGUUGAUUAUAUAGCGAGCUGACAAACAUUGUGAGUGUAGAAAAUAUGUAGUAAUUAAUGAAAGAAAUUUAAACACACCAUAAUCAUUUAUAUAUAAUGAAUUAGUACAAUAUUUUACACUUUAUACAUUGCAUGGAAAGAUACAUGAGUGACUUAGUACCACAUAGAGUUCCUAUGAGGUUCAAAAUUUUCACCUUGGUGUUUUUUAAAAUAUAGAAAUUUAUCUUAGAUAAUAAAUAUUAGCUUGCAAACCUUGCAGACAUCUUAAUGACCAUAUAAGGCUGAAUAUGUAAUCACAAACACAUCUGUAACGAGUUGGAUAAGGCCCAGGUACGUGGUUGACAAAGGAAGGGUUCAAAUAUAAUAUGCUUGCUUAGUUAAAAAAAACAAAAUAUUAUCUAAAUAAUUUAUAAUUUAUAUAACAUAUAUAUAUAUAUAUAAAAAAUAUAUCCUAAACUUUUAAAAAUAUAAAUGGAUGGCCUUCAUUAUUAAAAGUUAAAACCAUGUACCUCUUUCACGUCACUUGUCUAAAAGUUUUAGACUAAAACCAUCAAAGCCAAUGGUUUUGUUUUUUUUAAGUCUCCCGUCCCACCACCAAGGUUUUUUCUCUCUCUCUCUCCCCGCACCGUCCCCUCCUCCUCCCUCAUUUUCACAAAUCUCUGUUCCUCUCUCUCCCCGCAUCACAGAUCUAUGUUCCUCUCUCUCUCCCCGCAUCGUCUCCUCCUCCUCCCUCAUCUUCACAGAUCUCUGUUCCUCUCUCUCUCCCCGCACUGUCUCCUCCUCCUCCCUCAUCUUCACAUAUCUCCCCCUUCUCGAUCCUUCUCUCUUCUUCUCUGAGGCCCUCAAUCCUUCUCUCUUCUUCUCUGAGGCCUGACCUCUCUUCUCCCCCUUCUCCAUUCGACCCACACACACACAGAUCUCCCCCUUCUCCCACUCUCUCGAUCCUUCGCCCACUCUCUCGAUCCUUCGCUGCCGUUGAUCGUGGCUCUGGCGAAGUCGGACUUGGCUCAGUCGUCUCUGGUGGUGCGCCGCUGAGCAAGGAGUUGGCCCAGUCAUCAAUUUUUCAGGUGAGAUUCCAUUGAAACCCUAAGUCCUAAACCGACAUCACAUAUGUUGAAUCGUUGAUGCAUGCGUGAAAUUUGAAGCUUAUAUGUGAAAUUGAAGUUAAAAAUCGUGUUUUUGCAAGGUUUUUGGGACGAAAUGGGCUCGGGAAUAGGCACACCAUCUCCGGCGUUCGAUAUCGGAGGCCGAUUGCACCGUUCAACAAAAUAUCUCGAUAUUUCCAAAAUAUCGCGAUAUUAUCGAUAUUAUCGAUAAUAUCGCGAUAUUUGGACGAAAACCACACGGAUACCUAUUUAAAUAUCCAUUCCCCGAAAAAUCGAUAUUAUCGGCGAUAUUUCGCCGAUAAUAUCGAUAUUUAAAUCCAUGGCUUCGCUGAGCUAAGGUGCAGCAGAUGGUACGAUGCUGUCACCGCACGUGUCAACUUCAUAACUUGCCACGUGGCAGUUGUUUGGAUCAAAUGAGUUGACAGUACAACCAUUUGCAUCAUCACUUAUCUUGGAAAGAGAUCACUUCUGAAUCUCUUCCACCAAAGUUAUCAGAUUAAAUAAUCUAGAUCUUCUAAAUUUCAUCCAACAACUAUAAAUUAUCACAAUUUUAAGAGAUCAAAACAUGUGGGCUGUUAGAUGAAAUUUGAAAGAUCCGGAUCAGUUGAUCUGAUAGCCUUGGUGAAAGAGAUCCAGAUAUGAUCUAUUUCCAAGAUAAAAGACCAAGUGAUGAUGCAAAUGGUUGUAUUGUUUACUCUUUUGAUCCAAACAACCACCAUGUGGCAAGUUAUGAAGCUGACACAUGCGUUGACAGCAUUGUACCAUUUACUGCACCUUAAAACAAGUCCACCCCAAAGGGGUAAGCCAGCUCACAUCCUUCAAAAUGGCCCGGCACCCACAAAAAGUAGGUUGGCACCCAACCUAAGCCGUCUCAUAGGGCGGCCUAUAAUGUGUUGAGUCAUGGUUGGCUUAUGUGACGUCAUGUUGACGCCAGCGUGACAUCACAUGCCAUUAAAUUUUUUUUUUUUGCUAGGCACGUGUAAAACACACACGACUGGCUGCGCGUUCUGACAAGAAAAAGAGAGCGAGGCCCGCAUAUGCAGGCGGGAUAGGGGCGAGGGUCCGGAUGCCACGUGGCUCAUUCUAGAUCGUUGGAUUUCCAACGGCUAGUUUUUUUAGCCGUUAGAUUUAUAAUGGUAAAAAAAAAUUGAAAUUCAAAUCCAUUGCCUAGCCACGUGGCGCGAUCUGGACUGCUAGAUUUGAAUUCUUUUUUAAAUGUUGUAUACCAUAUUUAGGGCCUCGUAUAUUUGGGCAUCGGGCCUUGUAUUUAGGCCUCACACUAAAGCCCAUACUUUGUAAAAGAGGAGGAGCCCCUUAUUCUAUAAAAGGGGACUCCUACCCUCAUUCUAGGGGAGGCAAAAGAACCAAGCCUAAGAAGGCUAAGAGAAGCUAUCAUUACAUUCAGGAGAGACCUCACACCACCGAGGCUCUCCUCUCCCUUCUCUUCUUUCUCCUCCGGGGACUUCCCCCAAACACUUGUAUCCAUACACUUACAGAGAAACAGAAUCAACUACAGUGUGGACGUAGCCCAAACAUUGGGGUGAACCACGAUAAAAUCCUUGUGUUCUUUGUGUCAUUUACAUUUCAUGCAGAUUCACGGUCGGAUUUACGUUGUUCCAAGACCAUCCGAUUUUGUGCAUCAACAUUUGGCGCCGUCUGUGGGAAACGAUACUAAAAGUUGUGUCGGUUAUCUUUCAUUUUUUCACCUCCACCGUGAAUCUGCAAAAACCCAAACAAACCAAUGUUUCCCAGAAAACCCAUGGCGCUACUUCCUCUCUCAGUCAGUCGCACACAAACCAAAACAAAAAAGAAAUCCUCAAAUUUCGAACUCCCUUUCUCUCUCUACAGAUCACUUUCUCUUUUUUAAUUACUCUCUCUAUCUCUCAAUUCAACCCAGAAAUAUCCCUCAAAAGCCGAUCCACUGUUGACUCACUGGCUGUGCAGGACGUCGACUAAAACAGCAAUAUUUUUGCCCCACCACAGAUAAAUGGAACAUUUGCAGAUUGAUUUCAUGGCACAGACACUCAAUGCUUUCCCAGAACUUUUCCUCCGCCGCUGCUAUCGGGUCUUCCACGACGUCGUCUUCGGGGACGUACGGCGAGUCGAAAAAGGUGUGGGUGUGGACGGAGAGCAAGCAGGUCAUGACGGCCGCCAUCAAGAGAGGCUGGAACACCUUCGUCUUCCCCUUUCAAAAGCCGUGAACUUGCCGAUGAGUGGUCCUAUCUGAAAACUGGAGGUGGAGAAAACAAACAGCUCUUGUCAAACUGGCACUUUUCAGAGAGCUUCGUUUCUGAGUUGAAGAGAUAAACAGAGCAGCACAGAGACCUUCCCGCGACCGCACGGAGACACUCGUACAAAUGCCCGCAGGGAAUUCAUACACCGCACAACGCGAUGGUUUCGACUCACGACCACUCAAAGCCACUCUUACUCGACUCGGACCGAGACCUUCCCGAGGCGGCCUACGACGAGGCCGAUAAGGUCCACGUGGUGGGGAUCAAUGAGGCCGGAGACGAUAAUUGCCAAACGCCGACGUUUUCAUGGAAGAAUCUGUGACUGUUAACCGGACCCGGGUUCUUGAUGAGUAUCGUGUUUCUGGACCUGGGGAAUUUGGAGGGUGAUCUUCAGGCGGGGGCGAUAGCUAGGAACUCGCUGCUAUGGCUGCUGAUGUGGGCGACGGCGAUGAGGCUGUUGGUGCAGCUGCUGUCGGUUCGGCUCGGGGUGGCGAUUGAGCGACACCUAGCGGAGCUGUGUAAGGAGGAGUACCCGACGUGGGCGUGGAUGGUGCUGUGGGUGAUGGCGGAGCUUAAGAAAUGGCCUACCCAAGGCCGGACUUCCUCCUCCAAACCUUCAGCAGAUGCUGAUGGAGAUACCAAGAAAAGCAAAAGAUGAGAUCACCGUCCGCUGCCAAUGAUGAAAAUAGAGAUACAGAUAAGUUGUUUUACAACAAUACCAUUAUUAUUCCACUUUGGCGUUGUCUGCCAUCUGAAAGAGGAGAAAGAAAAGUAGUGGGAAACAAAGAGAAAGGAAAAAGCAAAAGAGAGAGAUGCAAGCUAUCACCAAGUUGGUUCAAGCAAGGCUAGAGCAACAAAGGUGCAGAGAUCAAGAAAAAAGCAAAAAAGCAAGGGGGAACAAAGCAGAAAAGAGAAAGCAAAAGGAAAAACAGAAAAGGAAAAGAGAAAAGGAGAAAAGCAAAAAAUCUUCCUAUUAUUAUGAUUUCUUAUGUCUGUCAGAUGAAGAGACAGAGAGUGCAGCAGAAAAACACUGCAAAAGCAUGGAAUAAACACCCCACCAGAAUGAUGUAAUUUAUUUUUCUUAUCUUUUGGACACAUAUGUAUAAACCCCAUCCGAGGGUAAUAUGUAUAAACCCCAUCAGAGGGUAAAAAAAAAAAAAAAAAAAAAAAAAAAAAAAAAGAACAACGACAAGCCCAAAAUAAAUGGGUUGGACUGGAAUGUUGUGGAGGGCGAAGGCCCAUAAGCCCAAAAUAACACCAACCAGGUGAUCAAAAGUACGCCUAGUACUCCAAAUCAUACAUGAGCACUACUCAUUCAUACAUAAACAUUCAUGAGCAUCACUCAUGACAAUCAUACAUAAACAUUCAUGACCAUCAUUCAUGUCAACAUUCAUGAGCAUCACUCAUGUUAACAUUCAUGAACAUCACUCAUGACAACAUCCAUGAGCAUCACUCAUGUCAAUCAACAUAAACAUUCAUGAGCAUCACUCAUGUCAAUCAGCUUCAAAAAGCUUCAUUUACAGAGCUUUAGCUUCAAAAGCUUAAUUUACAGAGCUCUAGCUUCAAAAGCUUCAUUUAUAAAAGCUCCAGCUUCGAAAGCUUCAUUUACAGAGCUCUAGCUUCAAAGCUUCACUUGCAAAGCUUCACCUACAAAGCUUCAGUGCAGGGUAUACAAAUACCGCCUCCGAACAACCGCCACUUCGGCCCAUACAUGGAUUCAAUUUGAAGUCUCCAGCCAACAGACUCUAUUGACAGAAGACUUGGGGGACUACAUUAUGUACCAUAUAUUGGGCCUCAACUGGGCCUCAUGAAAAAUACUUGGGGGACUCUAGCCCAUCACUUAUGUAUUGAGGAGAGAGCCCUUAUUCUAUAAAAGGGACUCCCUCACCUUCAAACGCCACAAGCCGAGCCAGCCAAGGCAACAUAAACCACGAGCCGAGCAGCCGAGCAGCGUGUGCUACUUCUAGUUGAGCAUCAUUUCAGAUUGAGCACCGCCUCAUAUCAAACAUCAGUUCAAGACAACAUCUAGUUACUUCGGCCCACACAUGGACUGAAUUUCAAGUCUCCAGCCAAAAGACUCUCUUGACUGAAGACUUGGGGGACUACUGUUUAUACCAUAUUUAGGGCCUCGUAUAUUUGGGCAUCGGGCCUUGUAUUUAGGCCUCACACUAAAGCCCAUACUUUGUAAAAGAGGAGGAGCCCCUUAUUCUAUAAAAGGGGACUCCUACCCUCAUUCUAGGGGAGGCAAAAGAACCAAGCCUAAGAAGGCUAAGAGAAGCUAUCAUUACAUUCAGGAGAGACCUCACACCACCGAGGCUCUCCUCUCCCUUCUCUUCUUUCUCCUCCGGGGACUUCCCCCAAACACUUGUAUCCAUACACUUACAGAGAAACAGAAUCAACUACAGUGUGGACGUAGCCCAAACAUUGGGGUGAACCACGAUAAAAUCCUUGUGUUCUUUGUGUCAUUUACAUUUCAUGCAGAUUCACGGUCGGAUUUACGUUGUUCCAAGACCAUCCGGUUUUGUGCAUCAACAAAUGUAACGGUUCAGAUUAAUUAUCUUAAUAAAAAUUAAUAAAAAAUGUUUAAAAAUUCAGAAAAAUUUAAAAAAAAAAUUCUAUAAAUACUGACACGUCCCGACCCCGAUAUUUCCCAAAUACCCGGAUAGGCACGUGUUGGCCGACACCUGAGGGUGACAAAAGUCAUUUAUUGAAUACAAGAGUAAUGAUUAGGAGGAAAUAAGCAUGAAUAAUCAUUAGACUCUAAAGGUAAUAAACAAAGUUUAAAGAAAUGUCUAGAGUGCACAGAAAACGUCCUAAUUCAAGAUCACAAAAGGAAAGAUCAUUACAAGAUAUCACACAAGUGAGUGAUAGACUGCUACUGAUAAGGGAAUACCUCGUACGUUGUGUCAUAGUCCUCAUUUCUAAGACCUGAAUGGAGGCGCAAAACAAAGGUGAGUGGACCAAGUUCAUAUAUACAAUAAUAAUAAAACAGUUAUCAAGAUACUAAUCCCCACAGUUUAUAUAAAUAAAACUACUAGCAUAAUAAGCGAUAGUUUUACUGAAAACCCUAGCAUGCCAAAAAUAUCUCAAAAGACAUAUCGCUGAAAAACAUCGCGGAAAUCAAAACAUCAAUCAUCUCAUAGACCGUCUCGUAAUUGCGGUGUGCUGCCCGUAAGAUCACUGAAUAAAUAUAACUCCUGGCCCUAUGCCAGCACCAUGGUCUCUGCAUCCGUAGCCAGAGAUUACCAACUUUCAGCCCAAUGCAUGCUCUGUGUCCCUCAGCCCGUAGCUAGGGAUUAUUUCUCUCGGCCUAUCUGCCAACACCAGAUCCUCGCCCCAGGCAGCAUAGUGUCCACUAGGUACGCACAAAUAGUUACGCCUCUCAUAAAUAACCACUUCAUAAUAUAAAGUAAUCAAUCGUCUAUACUAUAAAGAGAGGUUUCUAAAACAUGUUCUAGCAUCCUAUCGUCAUCCAUCAGAUAGUCUACCAGUUCAUGGUUUUUAUAUAAAAUACAAUAAAUUAAAAUAUAGCUUAAUAUAGGCCAACAAUUAAUUUCUCACAAAAAACAAGACGAUAAACAACAUAUUCCAUAAACAUGCUUAACAUAAAAUCAGUUCAUAAACUCAUAAGGUAUGCAUUUCAUUAUGCAAAUAAACUAUAAAAUUAUGCAAAUUUUAGAAAGGAUCCACUCACAGAUACUCCGUAGCAGCAGAAUUGUGCAGAAAAUGAUUAAGGAAAUCCCCACUAGCAACUUCACCUAAGCACAAAAAUGUACAAUUUAUCAAACUACCCAACUAUAGAAUUUCAACAAAUGGAAAUGGGUCUUGGGUUUGGAUUCGGAUUAGGGUUUAGGUUUAGGUUAAAUAUGGUUAAGACCUAUUGGGUUUUGGGUUUGGAUAGGUUUAGGAACAAAGGGGGUGGUUUGGGCUUGAGCCCAAACCCACACAACACACAUACAUACACACAAACACCCAUACAUGCAUACACAGCACACGCGCACACGCACAACACAACACACACACACACACACACACACACACGUGCACCACACACACUCACACACGUGUACUACACACACUUACAUACGCUUACACACACACACACACUCACACGGACACACACACACACACCAUACACACACAAUACACGCACACGCACGCACAUCAUAAUACACAUACACCACACACUCGCACAGCCCAAGCAAGGCAUGGCCCGCAGGCCAAAUAACCAACCAAAAAUAAGAAAUUGGGCUAGUCCAAAUACGGGCUAAGGCCUGUAAGUGGCCUGAAAUGGCCUGCGUGUUAUCGGGGAAGAAUGUCGGAGCUGCUAUAGCUUCGGUCGACGACAAACGUAUAAACCAAGCUCCAAAAAUGAAAAGGAAAACAUAGAUGAAAUGAUGGGAACGGGAAUAUACCACUGUGAGUCUGGACCAUGGUCAAGAAUGGCUGGGUUGAUUACGAAACUUGUCGGGUUCUGGAAAACAAAAAUAUAGUGGAUGCACAUAUUAGAACCUUCCAUUUGGACUAAUAACAACUCAACAAAACAAAAUAGAGCAGUGAGCCUCGCCUGAGUUCGAGUUUUAGAGAUUUGAAGCUCUCGGCUUCAAUGGCAGAACACACAGAGGUGUUCUAAUGAUGCAUGCAGGAUUACAGCUGAAUUCCUCAAGCCCCCAAGGAUUCUAGAUAUGUGGUUAAUCUGUUGGAUUUGAUUAGUUUUCGAAGAGGAAUGAAACAAGAGCUCUCAGAGCUUUAGAGAGAGUGAGAGUUCCUGUGAGAGAGAGAGAGAGAGAUGUCUGAGAGGGAGUGCUCGGGAAGAGAGGGAAAAGAAAAGAGCUGAGAACCUGCCACUUGGCAGUUUAGGAGAAAUGGGGAAUCUAGAUCAAUAGCUAGGAUUAAAUGAGAUAAGGGAUUAAAUUGAUAGAUUUAAACAUGUUUCAGGGAGGAAAUAGAAAUAUAAUUAAAAUGUGGGGGUGGGUGUAACAAAUACCUAACCAUCAUCUUCCACCUUACACCACAUUUCAAUAUUUUCAACACUUUCAACCAUAAUAGUACUUUCCGAUAAUGACACGUGGCGUGACAAUAUUGGUUAAAAAUCCUAUCUGAAAUUAAAACUUUUUUUUUUAUUUUGUAAAAAAUUAAUAAUAUUUUAAAUGGGCUAAGUGCGAGCGCAUUUUGUAAGGGUGGAGAUCAUUUGUGCCAGCUCAUUUUUUAAGGAUGGAGAAGCAUUUGGCCAAUUUACUGUUCAUAGGGUCUAUCAUUGUUCACUGAGUGGAUUAAAUAGGCUAAAUACCAGCGUAUUUUUUAGGAGUUGACUUGCUCUUGGCUCUUCGCCACGUUAUUAGGUUUGACUAAUUUUGUAAGUAUGACAAAAAAAUUUAGUUUGACUAAUUAAUUCGAGUCUUUCUUUUAGGGUUUAGGGUUUAAGGCUACUAACUUUAUAUUAUAUAAAACAAAAUUGGCGCAUCAUAAGUUGGAACCGGAUCCCCUCUAGACCUAAUGGAACUAAAUCCAAGGAUCAAAUGAUCUGGACUAUAAACAGGUGGUCCCUCUAAAAGUUAUAAUAAUUGUAGUCGUUGAAUUAAAUUUCAAUGGUCCGGAUCAUUUGAUCCUUAAGCUCAGUUCCCUUGGGUCUAGAGGGGAUCCGGUUCCUCAUAAUUUAACUGUUGUUCUGUGACCCCGUUGAUAAAAAAUCUAAUGCUCGGUCUUUACACGGCUGCACACGAGUGCAGGAUGUGGGAGAGCACAAACAACAAUCCCCUCAGCUAAUCACCUUCAGCUUGCUCUAAAGUGUUGUGCUUCUUUUUUACCUUUCAUCUUCCACUAACUUUCUACAUUGUCGGUACUCAGUAAUCUCAUCCUAGAUAUCAAUAGUAAACACUUACUGUGAUUUAUACGCUAAAUGCAGCAAGCAAGCGAGAUUUACUUCAUGAGCAGUAUGUUCAUGGGAUGUGUAUCGUACUGGUCAUGCAAAAUCAAGACAAAAUUUAAACGGUUCAUUCUCUAUCACAUUAAAGGACUUAAAAAGUAAAUUAGGUAAAGCCAACACCAGCUAAACGGUGCGUGCAUGCAUAUGACAUGAACACUGGUAUUCCCCUUUCAAGGUUCAGAUAAACUUGGAUGUUCCAAAUACAACUGCACAUAUAGAGGUUGGCUACUCACUGACUUAAUAGGGGUUAUUAAUGGAGGUUGUUGCCACCGCUUUGUGUUUGUUGGAAUUAGUGUAACUUGAUUUAGCUGGGUUUUAUUUUCAGAAUGCUGAACAGAAGCAAAGCAAAGAUGGAAGAAGUUGAACCGAAAAGUUUUCUUUCUUGUUCACUCUUGCAAAAGUAUUGCAGAGGAAUAUUUUGUACUACACUAAAAAAUGCGCACUAACACUGCUUUACAUUUUUCUGAUGGCCUUAGUUUAGGACCACACAAAACACUAUUUUUAAUCUUAGUCACUCAUCUACCUAAUUACAUGGAUCAAACACCACAUGGCACUCAUGGCCUUACAUCAUUUAACUUUACACUUGGCAGAUAUGCUCAAGUGAGUACACACAUUAAACUCAUCUUAUUUCUAAUACUCAAUCAGCUAGAGACUUAUAAUUCAACACUCCCCUUUAAGUCUUGAGCUGAUUUCACUCCAAGCAUGCUCCUGAGAUAAUUAAACCGAUCUUUAGGCAGAGGUUUUGUGAAGAUAUCAGCUAGUUGCUCAUUAGUUGGACAGUACACCAGAUCAAUGAUGUCAUCCUUCAGUGCAUCCUUGAUGAAAUGGUAUCUUCUGUUAAUGUGUUUGGUCUUUUGAUGGAACACAGAGUUCUUGGUGAUUGCAAUUGCUGAGGUGUUGUCACAGUGCACUGGAGUGGCUUCGGUUUGAAAUUCACCAAAGUCUUCAAGAACAAAUCUCAACCAAAUGGCUUGAGUAGUUGCUUCUGAAGCACUGAUGUACUCUGCUUCUGCAGUGGAAAGAGCUACACAAUUUUGCUUCACAGAUGCCCAUGAGAAUACUCCACUGCCAAAGGAGAAAGCAUAACCAGAAGUACUUUUACUGUCCUCAAUUGAUCCACUCCAGUCACUGUCACAAAACCCAAUUAACAUUGAGUUCUUACCCUUCACAUAUUCCAGACCAUAAUCUAGUGUGCCCUUAAUGUAUCUUAGCACUCUUUUAGCAGUUCCAACAUGCUUACUGGUAGGGCAGUGCAUAAAUCUGGCUAACAGACUGGAAGCAUACAUAACAUCAGGCCUGGUUGCAGUGAGAUAUAAGAGACUUCCCACCAUACUUCUGUAUAACGCUUCACUUGCUGCACCACUUCCAUCAUCUGUGGUUAACUUCUCAGUUGCAACCAGUGGAGUAAGCACAGGUUUGCACUCUUUUAGACCAAAUUUUUCUAAUAAAGAGCUUGCAUAUUUCUUUUGGUGGAUGAAAAUGCUUGAAGUUGAUUGAAUUAUUCCCAUUCCGAGAAAAUGAUGGAGAAGACCCAAAUCAGUCAUCUCAUACUUUCUUUUCAUGUCUUCCUUGAAUUCUUCAAGCAUUUGUUUGUUGCUCCCAGUAUAGAUUAUGUCAUCCACAUAGAUCGACACAAUCAAAAUGUCUUUCUCUUCUGCCUUGAUGUACAGUGUUGGUUCACUUAAACUUCUUGUAAAGCCACACUGUGAGAAAUAUGUAUCGAUCUCUCCAUACCAGGCCCGUGGUGCCUGUUUUAGACCAUACAAGGCUUUGUGAAGUUUAUAUACCCUGUCUUCCUCCCCUUUAGCUACAAAACCAUCAGGCUGCUCUACAUAAACCUCCUCCUCUAGAACACCAUUUAAAAAAGCCGAUUUGACAUCAAGUUGAUAGAGUUUCCAACUCUUUUGUGCAGCCAAUGCUAUAAGGGUUCUUAUUGUAUCUAACCGAGCAACAGGAGCAAAGGUCUCAUUGUAGUCUAUUCCUGGUUUAUGGGCAUAUCCCUUUGCAACAAACCUUGCCUUGUUCUUUUGCACAGUUCCAUCCAGGUUGAGUUUGGUUUUAAACACCCAUUUUACUCCAAUUAUAGGCUUGUUACUUGGCAUGUCCACUAACUCCCAGGUUGCAUUCUUUUCAAUCAUGGAGAGCUCAUCCUUCAUAGCAUUCAUCCAAGAUUCAUCCUUAGCUGCAUCUUCAAAUUUCUCUUGUUCUAUAAUGCACAGAUUACAUUGAGCAAGUACAUCAUCCAGCUUUCUCCAUUUUAAUGGAGUAUGAUCAAAUGCCUGAGUGUCACUCACACCUGCACUUGACUGAGAAUUGAUAUGUGUAUCAUCAAUAUCACUUGUAGCUUCUUCCAAUAUGCCAGAUGAUGAACCACUUGAAACUUGAGGGUCAUUUUCAUUAUUCUCACUUCUUGGGGUAUUCACAGUGUCAAACUCAUAAGUAGGCAGUGACAUAUAUCUUUCUGUGCUUAUUUCCCAAUCCCAAGCUGAGUUUUCAUCGAACACAACAUCUCUUGACAGAAUCAGUCUCUUAGAGAUUGGAUCAAAUACUCUAUAGCUUUUCUCACAUUUUGCAUAUCCAACAAAGACUCAUUUUAUACUCUUAGGUUCUAGCUUGUGCCUUAGCUCGGAUGGAGUAUGGACAUAACAGACUGAGCCAAAAACCUUCAAAUGAGCAAUACCUGGUUUCCUUUUGCUGUAAGCUUCAAAAGGUGUUAUACUAUCCAGUGAUUUGGUAGGACAUCUGUUUAACAGAUAGACAGCAGUAUGCACAGCUUCUGCCCACAUAUUGUAAGGCAUUCCUUUGUCAUGAAGCAUAGACUUGGCCAUUUCAAUCACAGUUCUGUUUUCCUUUCAACCACUCCAUUUUGCUGUGGAGUGUAAGAUAGAGACAGUUGCCUUUGGAUUCCCUCUGUGUCACAGUAUUGCUUGAAUUCAUUUGAUAAGAACUCCCCUCCUCUAUCACUCCUUACACAUUUUACCUUCAUUCCACUUUGCAACUCAGUCAUGGCCUUGAAUUUCUGAAAACAAGUAAAAGCUUCAGAUUUGAAUCUAAGAAAAUACACCCAUAUCAUCAUGGUUGCAUCAUCUACAAGCAACAUAAAGUACUUGUUUCCUCCAGUAGACUCGAUUCUCAUUGGUCCACACAGAUCAACAUGAACCAAUUCAAGUGGAGCACCAGCUCUUUGUGCUUGACCACUAGGAAACCUUUCUCUGUGUUGCUUACCAUAUUGACAGCCUUCACACACUUUGUCAUACUCAUCUAGAUAUGGUAAUCCAUGAACCAUGUCAUUAUCCUUCAAUUUCUUGAUUCCACCAAAGUGUAGGUGGCCUAAUCUUCUGUGCCAAGUCAGAGAACAAUGAGCAAAACUGGUUUUCAACACAAGUUGUUUUUCAGGCCGUAGAGAUAGAGGAUAGCACCUGUUUUCUUUCAUUUUUACACGGAUAAUUUGACAUUUCAGAGAAGGACCAUAAAAAACAGUGCACUUAUGUCCACCAAACACAAGAUAAUAUCCGUGCUCAUCCAUUUGUCCUACACUUAAUAGAUUCUCUUUCAAACCAGGUAGGUACAUGACUUCUCGAAUGUAUUUUCUUCCUCUGUUAGUCUCAAUUUCCAGUGAUCUCAUUCCUGCCACAUUAACUAACACUCAUGUUGGCAUUUGAACUUUCCCUGCAACAUUUGUAUUCACAUCAACAAGAAGAUCAACAUUUCCUGUCAUAUGAUUACUGCAGCCACUAUCUAUGUACCAAUCUCCAUUAACCUUAGUCUCAGCAACUGCACAAUUUGCAUAAAAUAAGUUUCCUGUCACUUCCAUUUGACUUGCACAGUUUGCCUUUUGAACAGACUUUCCAACAGUACACUCUCUGGCCCAAUGACCAAAUCUAUCACAGUUAUGGCACUUGGAUUUCCCCUUAUAUCUACAUUCACCAUAAUGAAACUUUGAACACACUUUACAUUGAGGUUUUACACUCUCUUGACCCAUAACCUGUGAGGAAGUACUAUUCUGUGCAAUAUUUGUGUAUGAUUUUUGCUGAAACUUUGGUUUUGAAUCCCAUUUCUUACCCUUUUGAUUCCAAUUUCUUUGUGGUUUAAAAGUACUAGACUGAGCAUAACUUCGAUUCUGCCCUUUUGAACUAACAGUAAGAGAAGAAAAUGCUCUCUCAGUUGCAUCUGAGGAAUGCAAAUCAUCAAACCUCUGCUCUUGACUCUUCAAUAUAGCUAGUACCUCUUGCAGUUCAACAGAUUCUAAACAUUUGGUAUUUUCUAUCACUAAGCAUAUAGGAUCAUAUAUCUUAGUGAGACUGAUUAAUACCUUCUGUACUAAUCUCUCAUUUGACAGAAUUUCACCAAACGUUUUCAUUUGAUUAAUCAGAUCAUUUAAACGAGUAAGAUACCCAGUCAAGGAUUCAUCAUCACGCAUUCUAGUAUAUUCAAAUUCUCUUCUAAGAUUCUGGAGUUUCACAGAUCUUACCUGAUCCCCACCGUGAUAUUCGCCAUAUAACAGAUCCCAUGCCAUUUUUGCCGAGUCUGCGUUUGCGAUUCGAGGGAAAAUCUGAUCGGAGACUGCGUUUUGAAUGAUUCCGAGAGCUUUUGCAUCUUUCAUGAAGAUUGCAGUCAUUUUCUCAUCAUCGUCAGCAUCAACAUCUGUAUCUUCAUCAGUCUUAGCUUUCUUCUUCUUCGAAUCAGAAACCGAAAUCCCUUUUUCCACCAGAUUCCACAGUCCAUAUGACUUGAAAAUGGUAACCAUUUUGAUUCUCCAGAACUCGUAGUUCUCACCGGAGAAGAUCGGGGUCCUCACUUCAGCACUCCCAGAUCUAGCCAUCGUGAGCUUGUGUGAAUCCAGAAACACGUAGUUCUUUAGGUCACAGACAAACUCCGGCAAACUUCACCGAAACCAGAAACGGUGAUGUUUAAGCUCACAGAAACACGCCCAGAUCUUAAUCGAAACUAGGCCCUGAGGCCAUGUUAGUGUAACUUGAUUUAGCUGGGUUUUAUUUUCAGAAUGCUGAACAGAAGCAAAGCAAAGAUGGAAGAAGUUGAACCGAAAAGUUUUCUUUCUUGUUCACUCUUGCAAAAGUAUUGCAGAGGAAUAUUUUGUACUACACUGAAAAAUGCGCACUAACACUGCUUUACAUUUUUCUGAUGGCCUUAGCUUUAGGACCACACAAAACACUAUUUUUAAUCUUAGUCACUCAUCUACCUAAUUACAUGGAUCAAACACCACAUGGCACUCAUGGCCUUACAUCAUUUAACUUUACACUUGGCAGAUAUGCUCAAGUGAGUACACACAUUAAACUCAUCUUAUUUCUAAUACUCAAUCAGCUAGAGACUUAUAAUUCAACAGGAAUCCAUGACUCUGAAAUCCUUGCUUGUACUUGCCUCAGGGAGGGAUCGAAAUUACGCAGUUAUCUCCCACCUGCAAUCUGUUGUAAAAGAAAAGCUUACAUGCCUACCCCUGAUCGAUCAUUAAAGGAAACAAGAUAUUAAUCCAGAUUCCAAACCAUAUACAGUUGACGAACUCAGAAACUACGUAAGCAUCUGGUCAGUAUCCAACUAAAAUGAUACUUCUAUUGAUUUUAAAUCUCAUGGACCAAAAUGAUGAGUUAUGCAAAUUUCAGGAACAUUUUUUUAAUGCAUUCGAUACUUGUACUCUAAACUACUCUAAGGAGAGGAAGAGAUUUGAACUUCAAACACGGUGGGUUGAGGAGAGUUCUAUAAUUUAUUAUUGAUAUUCACAGCAUUCAACCUCUCUUACUUUUAUUGAUAUUGUUCUAGGGUUAAUCAUGAUAGUAAUCUUCUUAUUUAUACUCGUGUUUCACUUUAGUCUUAACUUUAGUUCUAAAUUUUAUGACCUUCUAACCGUAUCACAUCCCCACUUUAGUCAUUAUGUCAAUUUGUUAAACUGUUUCAUUGUAGUAAAGCUGGACAUUUUAGUCGACAAUCAAAUAAACAAAAGUAUGACAGAAUGGUUAAAGCGAGUCACAUAACACAAGUGAAAAACUAUUAAAUAGAUAAACUAAAUUGGAGAUAAAGUGAAAUACAAAUAUAAGUUUAAGGACAAAUAUUUUAAUUAAUUCUAUUUUUAGUUCAUUCCUGUUUUUUUUUUCUUUCACGUGAAUAAAAAAGCUUUGCUUUCAUUUCUUAAUAAUGUUGAAUUUUUUGUUCUUGAGAAAUAAAAUGCAGGCCGAUAUCUCAGUAAAUUGGGCGAGGUGGGUGAGCGCGGCAGCGAGCAAGGUGGGCGAGCGUGACAGAGAGCGAAGUGGACGAGGUGUAGGGUGUGCGACGUCUGAAGGAUGAUGUUCUGAGUUUGAAGGGUUCGGCAAGGUCGGGGUGUCGAGUUUCAACUUUGGAGUCUGGAGACUGGAGGCAAGGUAUCAAGUUUGGAAUCUGAAGAAAGGAGGGGACGAGGGGUGUAUUAGUUAGGGUUAGUGUAAAACAUAAAACAACGUAGUAUUCUGGGUUUAGAUGUUCGGUUUUGUUCGGCUUAGUGCGUAUCCUAACAUUUAAAACCGAAACUGAACCAAUUGAAUUCGAUUCAAUUCAGUUAGAGAAAUUCAAUUUGGUUAUUUUGAUUCGAUAUUUUGUACGAUAUUUUUUUAAAAUAAAGUUUUCGGUUUUCGUUUUUUUCGAACACACCCCUAAUUCUUCAUGAGUCCUUAAUCCAUAUAGGUCAACAUAGUUUCUCUCAAGCGCAUGGGUUGAUCAUCAGCAUAUUUGAUUAAAUCUCGACCUUCCAAUUUUUUAAAUGAAAACGAGAGGCCGAGAUUUGAUCAAUUAUGUUGAUGCACAUGUAGACCAUGUGCAUAAUAGAAACUCUCAUUUGAUCAAACUAUACAUAUCAUCUACAUGGUCUAGUUUUGUCUAUGUUCAUAAGUUGCACGUGAGGCUCACAAAUCGGGACAAAAACAUCAUAAAAAUUACUUUUGUUGACCAUGAAAUGACAUUUUGAGUCUUGACCAUGCAUGUGAGAAUCAUCUACAACCUUCAAGCAUAAUUUAAACAUAGAUCUCGAUUUUGAUUAAGAUUGAUACAAGCUUUACCAUUUGAGUAUGAUGAUGCUUCUUUACUCCCACAUCGUUCAGGAGAGUUGAUCCUCUAUGCCUUAAAUGUACAUGGGCCUUCAUAUAUCAUGAGGUUUUUUAGGAGCUCACAAGCUUUGGGUUCCGUAGGAACUCCGAAGUUAAGCAAGAAUGAGCCAGAGCAUUCCUAGGAUGGGUGAUCCACUGGGAAGUUCUGCUUGCGUGAAUUCCCAAAAACAAAACCGUGAGGGCGUGGUCGGGACUUAAAACAGACAAUAUCGUGCUACGACGGAGUUGAGCUCGAGAUGUGACAUUUACCACAUCACCAUAAACCAUCUUGAGACACUCUACAAUGAGAUGAUGCUUGGUGAAUCAUAUUACAUUGAGGUUUAUGCAUAUUAAUAUUAUGAGAUGCAUGCAUGCACACACUUAGGUUUCUUUUUUGUGCCAUUUUUAGUUUUGCCUUAAUUUAGUGGGUAUUUUGACAAGCUAACAUCUUCCACUCCAAAAGCUUCUAAUCUAGGGUCUAUGCAUAUUAAUAUUAUGAGAUGCAUGCACACACUUAGGUUUCCUUUUUGUGCUAUUUUUAGUUUUGCCAUAAUUUAGUGGGUGACAAGCUAACAUCUUCCACUCCAAAAGCUUCUAAUCUAGGGUCCUUGAACUUGCCCAUAUUAAGUUACCUUCCCAACUCCACCUAAUAUGUGAUCUCCUCAAUCCCAUUUGGGAAUAUAUGGCACCGUUCAUUUUCCAUUACGAUUUGAGGGGGGACCCUUGAGUCCUCUUCCUCCUCUUUGUUCAUGCAUACAGCUUCAAUAGACUUGGUCAAAGAGGGGUCAAGGAAAAGAAGAAAGAUUGACUGGGAUAUGAGGAGAAAACAAAUUGGAAAAAAAAAAAUUGCUUUUGAUAGAGGGAGAGAGAGAGAGAGAGAGAGAGAG
rnacentral:lncRNA from 1 species